GAAAAAUUGCUAAAAUCAAUUAACUAAAUUCCUUGAAUUAAGCAACUAAAAUUUGAGAAUUUGAAAUUCAAAUUCUCUAUCUUCACCUAUAAAUAAAGGUGUCUUCUUUCAAGAUAGGGAGAGAAAUUCAGAAAUCAAAAAAAUCCAGAAAGGAAAAUCUUAGGGAGAAAAUCCAAAGGCAACUUCGUACGAGAAAAGAAGUUUUACAACAAAAGGAAAAAAGCUUCAUCAAAUUUCCCUACAAGUUCGGUUAACGGCAAAAGAACUGUUACACGCAUUCUUCGUCAUUCAACGAGUUCAUUCAAGGAUAAGCCACUUGUGGCCCUCGAUUGAUCUUUGAAAUUAAGAAAAAAUCAUUGUCAUUCUUCAAGUUGUGGUCAAAGCGAAAAAAUUCUUUUGUAAAGAAUAUUAUAUUUGAGAUUGUACCCACAAUAUUUUAAAUUUCAAUAAAUAUUUUGUUCGCAUUAUUUUUAUUAUUGUUUUGCUUACAUCGUAGGAUCAUUUACGAAAUUUGUGCGUACACCUACAUUGCUUAGAAUAGAAAUUUAUAACAUUUAUAACAGAUGAUUCAUAUGGUUUAUGCAACUAAGAUUUUAAAACUACAAUCGAGUCUUUACACUUAGGGAAACUACUUUUUGACAACUUAGUGAAGAGAGUGGAAGAAAUUCAUGAAGUUGUCAAAAAAUAGUUUUCUAAGUGUAAAGAGUUAGUUGUAGUUUUAAAAUCUUAAAAAACUUGAUCACUCUCAAAUGUGUAUUUCAAAAUGUGGUUUCCCAAGUAAAAAGAGUCAAUUGUAGUCUUAAAAUUCCAGUGACUUGGAUGUUAAACCAUAAGAAGAUGAUCUUAGGUGUACAAGGGAAAUAAACAGGUGUAGAAAAUGAAUGAAAAAUUUUUAGACAAACACUUUCAUUCAAUUGCUUGAAAAAAAAAAAUAUUAAUGAAUUUUGUGAAAAACAAGAAAAAACUAGUGUCCUUAAGACAUGAAAAAACUCUUUCAUGUCUUUUAAGUAUUAGUUUAGGCUAAGGAAAUGGGGCCUUAGGACUUUUUGUUUGCCCUUAAAAGAACCCUUAAAUCUUAGGUAAUUAAUGAUUUAUUCAACUUGUAAGUUAGACUUCUCCAUUUUUAAUUAGAAAAUCAUGCAUUGAUGCGAAUCUCUUGAAGUUUAAGGGCCCUUUUGAGGGUAUCUCAAACAUUUAAUGGUAAACACUAUUUUGACUUGAGACAAUCAUUAUUAAGCUCUUAAUGCUACAAUUUGACAAGCAAAUGGGUAUUGGAGGCUUUAAGGAAUUCACAAAGAGGUUCAACUCACAAGUUUGAAGCAUUGAGUUUAAUUAAAUUUUACUUGUAUUGAAAAUUCUCCAGUUGAGAGCACUUAUAUAUAGUCUUGAUUGUUUUAGCUAAUUAAGGGUAUUUUCAUGGGAAAAAAAGUCUUACUUUUGCGCAUCUUGUUAAGUUAAAUAUCAAUUUAAGUUUACUUGGUUUUUAACCUUUUUUUUUUCUAAGUAAUUGAGUGAAAGAGUUUGCCUCAAAAAUUUGUAUCCAUUCUAAACCUCUCCAUUUCUCUUAUAUACCUAAGAUCAUUUCCCUAUGGUUCAACAAUUGACUUAUUAAGAUUUUAAAACUACAACUAACCCUUUUACCCUAAGUAUAAAGAGUCGAUAUCAUUUCCCAGGUAAAAAGAGUCAGUUGUAGUUUAAAAUUUCGAUGAGUUGCAUGUUGAACCCCAGUGAGAUAAUCUUAGGUGUACAAGGAAAUAAAGAGGUUUAGAAUAUGAAUGGCAAAUUUUUAGGCAAACACUUCAAUUCAAUUGCUUGAAAAAAAGAAGAUUAAUGAAUUUUGUGAAAAACAAGAAAAAACAAACAAGUGAACUUAAAUUGAAAUUUGGCUUAACAUGAUUUACAAGUGUGCUAAGGAUAGGGGGUCCCUUGAGCUCCCUUCUUUUCAUGAAAAGACCCUUAAUUAAGCUAACAUAAUCAAGACUACGUAUAGGUAUUCUCAACCGGUGAGUUGAACCUCUUGUGAAAUCUUUAAAUCCACUAUCCAUUUGCUUGCCAAAUUAUAGCAUCAAGGGCUCAAUAAUGGUUGUCUCAAGUUAAAAUAGCUUUCACUAUUAAGUCCUUAAGAUAACUUCAAAUGAAUCCCUAAACUCCAAUUUCCAAGCAUCAAGGCAUGGAUUUCUAAUUAUAAAUGGAGAGAUCUAACAUACAAGUUGAAUAAAUCAUUAAUUACCUAAGAUUUAAGGGUCAUUUCAAGGCCAAAAUGGAGGUCCUAAGGGCCCCCUUUUCUUAGCCUAAACCACUACUCAAAAGACACAAAAAUUGAAUCAAAAUGGAAAUAAAAAAUAAAAAGUGUAAAAUAAGAAUUGUUGAAAUCUAAGAUUAAGUUUCAAAUUUAUACAAAAUUACAAAGUUAAUAUACUUAAAUAUAAACACGGACAAGAUAAAAAAAAAAAAGUUCAUUAAAAACUUUUAAAAGUUGAAAAACAUUACAAAAAUUGAAGUUGCAGCAAGUCCCAAGGUUAGAGGUUGAAAAAGAGUUUCUUACUAAAGGGCCUUAAAAUCCUAGUUCUUUAGCUACAAAUUUUCUUUAAAUAGGUGCUUCCAUAUUGCCCUAAGUGAUAUACCAUAUAGGGGCAUAAAAAACAAUGUAGGAAAUUCAAUAAUAGCUUAGGAAAAGUAAAAAAAAAAAAUGUGGGUCUCAUGUGCUUUCAGUGUUUCAAACGGCCCUCAACUCCUUUAGAUUUUUUCUUAUUUUCACCAAUCUUUCCUAAUUUUUUUGCAUAGGCAAAUGAUGUCCAAAUAUUCUAAAAAUUGGUAAGAUUGAUCUUCAAAAAGAGUAUAGAAUUUAAUAAAAUUUACUUUCGUUCAUUUAAAUAUAUUUAACCCCACAACUAUCCUCAAACUUUUGAUUAGUCGAAAUAAAACUGUCAUUGAACUUCAUGUAACUUUGAUCGUUCGACUCCACUAAUACCUCACUCUUGUAUUUCAGAUCUCCCAAUCAUCAUUAUUUAUGAUAAUAGUUUGUAAAUAUUAACAAUUCAUCAAAAAUAUGAAAAAACCAAUCAUACAUAAGGUAACAUAUAAUUGAAUAAUUUAAGAAUUUGUUUAAUACACAAAUCAAGCUUAAAAUAUGAAAUAUAGUUGAAGUGGCAUGACAACAUAUCAGAGCUCACCAACACACUUCCAAACAUGAUCUAUCCAGAUUUUAGAAAAGCAAAAAAUAUUAAUAUUUUUUUUUAAAAUAUGACGUAGGAAGUAAAUUUUUAGUUUAUUAAAAUCUUUUCAUUAAAUAUAAAAAUUAAAUGUAAUUCCAAACUUUUGAAACUCGAAAAAAUCUAUCCAAAGAUUUGAGAUCUAAAAUCUGCGGGUUUGAGUGGGCUGGGAUUCAUGCAUUAGUACCUUAAAAAGUGUAAAACAUCCAAAAGUUUGAAGCCCAAAAUCUCCAUUAUAAUUGGGCUGGGCCCCCCGUGCGGCAGGGCCCAAUGUUGUGGGAAAGGAAAGUUUCUUUUUUUUUUUUUUUAUUACAAUUUUACCAGCAGCUCUGCACGUGAUAUGCUGCAAACCGAACACGUUUCCUUGUUUCCCAACUAUCUUACCUCAUGUGAUAAAAAUGUAGAGAGAGUUUUUACUUAAUUUGCAUGAGUUUUUUUAAAUUUUAUUUUAAAUGUUUUCUAUAAAUAGAAACUUUUAUGUACUUAAAUAAAUUCUUUCAUUAUUAUUUCAUUAUUUUGGUAAUAAUAUAAUAAUUAAAGCAUCAUUUAAUUUUUUUAAAUUUUUAUCUUCCUUUUAAAAUCAAAUUAGAAAAAAUAAAAUACUUUAGGAUUGAUGGUAUCUAUUUUUGAAAAUAAUUUUAAAAAAUGAUUUUUGAGAACAAUUUUUUAAAAUCGUUCUUUUAUUUUAUAAAAUAAAAGUUUAUUUAAAAAUAUAAAAUAUUUUAAUUUAUUUUAAAAUAUGUUUUAAAAAUAAAAUUUAUAUAUAAUGUUUUAUUUUUAAUUAUUUUUUAAAACAACCAUUAGAAAACAAAUGAAAAUAUAAAAGAUAUUUUUUGAAAAUUUUUUAAAAACAGAAAAUAAAAAACGGUUUUUCAAUUGUUGAACAUGUGUUUUUUGUUUUGAAAAACUAAAAACUGUUCUAAAAAAAUAAUUCUAAACAUAUCCUUUAAUUCUUUAAUUUCAUUAUAACUAUAAAAUUUUCAUCUUUCAUCAUUUAUUUUGGUUACACUUCACCAAAAGUAGGAAUUAAAUUUAAAAUAUUUUCUCUUACUUGUAUUAAUUAAAUUAUUUAAAAAUACGAACAAAUAUUAGUGUUUCUUACAAAAAAAAAAACAACAAUUAUAAACCACUUUUAGAAUAAUUUUAAAUUUUAAAUAUUUUUUUAAAAUACCUUUAAGAAUUCAAAUUUUGAAAUAAAUUUUUUGAUAUAUUCUUAAUUAAGGUCACAAUUUGUAAAAUAUUUUAUAUUUUAAAACACUUUUAAAAAAUUAAAAUACCUCAAAUUUAUUUUUCUUCUAACAAAUAACCUAUUUUAAAAACAAAUUUUUUAAAAGAAAAAAUUUAUUAAAGAAUUAUCAAAUUAAUAUAUAUUUUUUUCUACAAAACAAUUCUUUAUUAAUUUUUUAAAAUUGAGUCCAAUCCGGAGAUAGUUAAGGAAGAGAGAACAUAAGGGCACCUAAAAUUUUAUUUUAUUUUAAUAUUUUUUAAAUUUAUUUUAUUUUAUUUUAUUUUUUUAUUUUCUCUCUCUACUUUUUCUCUCUCCAAAAAGGUAAAUAUCUGCAUCCAUUGACACAAUUGAACCGCCCUCUCUUUCUCUCUCUCUCUUUUCUUUCUCUCGCAAUCUCCAAACGCAGAGUCUCAGCCUCACCUCUCCUUCGAUCCCUCUUCGGUCUUGGUUUAUGAGGUUCUCUUCUCCUUCUCUCUUCUUUUCAUGCAUCAGUUUUUGUUUUUUUUUUUAAAAUAAAAAUUUGUUAUUCGUAGAUCUGUUGUUCUUGAUUUGAUUUGUGUUGUUCCAGAAAGGAAAGUUCUUUUGUGAUCGUUUUUGGGCAAAAUUUUGUAGGUCGAGGUUGGUUUUUUGGAUUAAAGAUGUGGGUUUGUUGUUUUGUUUGUGGGGAUGGGUGAAUCACUGGAUCUCUUGAUUUUACCGCUGGGUUCUACUUUGUGGAAAAUGAUAUGAUUUGAUUUGAUGGAUUUUCAAACCUUGAAGUGGGGUUUUGAUUUGAUCUUUUCGAGGUACCUUUUGUGGGUCUUUCUUGAUUUCUUCUACUUUUGUUCCUGAAAAAAUUAUCCCUUUUUGAUGACAUUUUUUGGGGUUUGAAUCUGAGACUUGUUUUAUAAUCUUUGAAUAUUACUUCUAAUUUUUAGGCUUUUUCUUGAUUGAAUCAUUGGAUCUUCGUUUUCUUUAAAUUGAUAAUUUGGUGAUGUAAGAAAGAUCAUUCCUUUGGUGAUAACUGUGGUAUGAAGUUUUUUGUUGGGUAAUUCUGAAAUUUUUAUUUAAUUUUGAUUAAUUCUAAGUGUUUUCUUUUCAUUUUUGCAGCUCGAAGGAGAGACCCACUCUCGGGUAAGUUUUGUGAUAUUCACAAUCCUUAUUUUGUAAUUUACCUGUUUGGUUGCUGAAAAAACUGAGGAAAAGAAAAGAAAAUAAAGUUUUGGAUUUUAUGUUUAUAUUUUUUUGUUAUCCAACGGUAUAUUGAAGUAUGUCCCUACAAAGUUUUAACCUUUUUUCUCGUUUUUCUCUCUUACCUUUCCUGAAUAAUUGCGUUCAUUGGGCCAUUAAGUUUCUAGUUGGGCACUUUAUUCUUGAUAUUGUUCUGUUUUCCUUGAGUGCUCUGCUGCUUUUAUUUCUGAAUAUGCUCUUUUUGUUCCCCUAUAUUCGGUUUUUUCAACUUUUGUAUUCUGAAGCCUAAGUUGAUUAAAAAAUGGGUCUGCCCCUAAUGCAAUUUAUUUGCUAUUCUUGUGCGGAAUUAAUUGUUGGUUUAAUUUCCUCAAUCGUCAUCAUUUCCAUUAAUAAUGGAUGGUCAGUGUGCAUAUCUGCACAUGGAACCACGAUGAAGAUGGUGGUGGUAACUUAACCACAUAUGGCUUAGGAAGCUUUAGUGUUAGAGUUUAGGGUUGGCGGCUGAGGACAUGGGGAAGGAAUGUUUAAAGAAAUGCAGUAAGUCUUUUUGCUCAAUUUGUCGUUCCAAUUGUAGCUUGGGACCUUUCCUAGCGAGCUCAAUGUAAGAUGUCAGGAAUUUGAGCUACCUAGGCCCUAUUUGGUAAUUGUUUUUGAAAAAAAACAGGAAAACACAUUGGUAAUAAGAGAGAACAUCUUUUUGUUGUUUUCCAUUGCUUUCACUUGCUUUCACUUGUUUCCUAAGGGUUGCUUUAAUAUAUUUGUGUUAUCUAUCAAAAAAUAAAAUAUGGAGAAUGAUUAAAACAUAUUUAAAAGCAUAAAAAACAAGUUAAAAACAUUUUAAGUUCUCAAACAAAUAUUUGCUCUACAAAAUAUUAGAGAAUCAUUUUUGAAAACUGUUCUUAAAAACUAAUUUUGAGUGCUUUUUUUGAAAAUAGUUACCAAACAGGGCUAGGGUAUCUCAAAUCUCUCUCUCCCUCUCCCAACCAAGUAGGAUAUCCUUGACCUAUGUAACAGCUAAGAGAGAGAAAAAGGUGCAAGCUUUCAUAUAAUGAAUAAGGAUGUAGUUAGCCGAUUAACUAACUGGCAACCCUUCUUCAUGAGUUGGUCUUGCUGUUGGUGCCAAGUUGUAUGCGGGAUAGUAAACCCCCACCCUGUUUUAGCUGUAUUUGAUUUAUUAUUAUUGUUAUUUUGUUUAGAAUGACUUGCCUGGUAAGUGGUGGAAAGUAACUACAGUAGCGAACAUUCUUGACGUGUGUUUUUGUUAUCAAAUUUGUUGACAUAAGCCUGUUGUCAUUUGUUUCUAUUUUUUUCCAGUGGCACGCGGAUUAAGACCCGCAAACGGAAUAUUGCAGCGCCGCUGGACCCUGCAACAUUUGCAGAUGCAGUGGUCCAGAUUUAUCUGGAUAAUGCUGGUGAUCUGGUAAUUUUUCCUGUGUCUGAAAUCCUAUAUGUUUUGUGUUUCACCUUAUCAUUUUGGUGCAGCUAAUAUGGCAAUUUCUAAAUGCAGGAACUUAUCGCUAAAAGCAUUGAAUCUUCAGACCUUAACUUCUCUAGAUACGGUGACACCUUUUUUGAGGCAAGCAUUGAUUCUUUAUAGAAGUUCUUUAAUGUCUUCCGUAUGAUGUCUUCUGAAGCAUGAUUUCAUUUAUUGUGGACGUUGCAAUGAUAAAUUCCAUUAUUUGGGCGAGUGCCCUUAUCUGAUGCACCAUCUGAAAUUGAUCAAUUUACUCAACUAAGUUUUCUUUGUUGGAAUUUCAGUAAUUCAUACAAGAUAAGAAUCACAUUUCUAUUACUUGAUAAAUGAUGUGUCUUAAGUCUUUGUACUUGGAGAACAUUCUCUUAGUCAAAUCCAUCAAUGUUCUGAUAUAGUUCUUGCACAAAACCAACUCUUUAAGAGGUACACCUGAACUCAUAAAUUUGCCAUCAGCAAAGCAUUAUUCAUCUUGUAGCAUUCUUUACCUAAUUUCAUUUACAUCAACCUAAGAUCUGUAUGCAUAUGGGCAUUUAUUUGUCAUAAUGACACUAUAUAAUUGUUUUUUAUGCUCAUCUUGGGUUUCUUCAAGGUUGAUGUAGCACACAUUUUCCAUAAGUAAAGCAUUAUUCAUCUUGUACCAUUCUUCACCUUAGUUUAUUUGCAUCAACCUAAGAUCUGUGUGCAUAUGGGCAUUUAUUUGUCAUAACAACAGCAUAUAAUGUUUUUUAUGCUCAUCUCGGGUUUCUUCAAGGUUGAGGCAACCUUACACUUCUUCAUCCAAUUCAUGUUGAUUUUAUCUGUGUGAACAUAUUAUGUAUAAAUCAAAAAGGAUGUGGAGUACAUUACCAAAAGCUAGAAUGGAAAUGGACCAACUGAUUUGUUAUUAUUAUUCUGAAAUUGAUCUACCUAAGAUGUAGCUCAUUGAAUCUUCUAUCAUGGAUUGAUUUAAAACUUAUCAUGGAUUUUGAGAGCUAUUCAAACUUGUUGUGACUCCUACCAAAAAAGAAAAGAAAAAGUCUCCUUAUUUACUAGUUUAGCUUUCAAGAUGCUGAUAUCUUGAUGAUAGAGGGGUUCUAAAAAUUUCUGUGCAAUAAAAUUUAUGCUUAAAAUCUGAGCCCUGUUUCUCUAUCAUACCAUACCCAUUUACUGGUGAAAAUAGGUUCAAUUAUUUGACUUAUAUGAUUCAUUCCUUCAGCAUGUCCAUUAUCUUUAUGUCUGUUGAAUGCUGAAAUAUGGUUUUUAAUGGAACAUUCGUUUGUGUGUGUAGAUAUUGUAAGACAUGGAACCAUCUUGCUCCUGUUAACACUGGUCAUAAGUGGAAACAGAUGCCUUUAUCCAUGUUUAUUUUUCAGAGGCUGUACUCAUGACUGCAAUAGCCUAUAUUUCUGAAAUGGCAAAAAAAUUAAAGGAAAAGAAAUUCAAUAGGGUUGUCUAUAUUGUAUAGGAUUUUCUUACCUUGAUGGAUAUUUGGUGUUAUGUACUUAUUUUCUUUAUGUACUCCAUUUCAAGGAGGUUAUGGUUGGCAUGGAAAUAAAAUUAGUGUUUGUGCAUAUAACUCCAGUUAUUUGGGAUUGAGGGCAUUGUUGUGACAUUUUCAUUGUUUGUGGGUUUUGUACAAUUCUAUUUUUAUUUUCCUGUCAUUUGCUGGUGAAAUAACAUUUAUUAUAUACUUUGAUUUGGGAUUUAAUUAUUUUAUUACUGCAGGUUGUCUUCACCGGAGGUCGCACACAACCUGGCACAACAAAGUCUGAUGAGGGGGAGCGCCAUCCUUACUCUAUAAUUGAUUGUGAACCUAAUCGUGUAGCUGUUUUACCAUCUGUAAUCUACAUACAGAAGAUUUUAAGGCGGAGACCAUUUCUCAUAAAGAAUCUUGAAAAUGUCAUGCGAAGAUUCCUCCAGUCAUUGGAGCUUUUUGAGGAAAAUGAGAGGAAGAAGCUGGCUAUUUUCACAGCACUUACAUUCUCUCAGAAGCUAUCUGGGCUUCCACCAGAGACAGUGCUCCAACCACUGCUCAAGGAUAAUCUUGUGGCCAAAGGGCUAGUUCUCUCUUUUAUAACAGACUUCUUCAAGGAAUAUCUGGUUGAUAAUAGCCUUGAUGACUUGAUUUCCCUCCUGAAAAGGGGAAAAAUGGAGGACAAUCUUCUUAUCUUCUUCCCUUCUGCUAAGCGUUCUGCUGAAGGUUUCUCUGAGCAUUUCACGUGAGUGUUUCCUUUUAAAGAUGAGGGAAUGUCAUUACAAAUCAUUUCUUAAUGAUCCAGAUUCCUACAAUUUUGAAAACCUAGAUAGUGUGUAUUUGAUUGAUACAUUAUUGGACAUUAAUUUUUGCAACAUUCAGUUGUAUUCACCAAAGACCUUUUUGAUAGCUUAUUCUAUCUAGAUUGCAUGUAAAUGUUAGCCACAUUUACAUAUAAAUACUGGAAUGAUGCUGGGGUUUAAGUCAAACAUAUGAGAAAAUUAAGUUCAGUCUGAGUGGUUUUUCAAAUGAACUUGUAUUUGCAAAAGUAUGCUCUUUGUGGAUUUCCUAUUUCAAGUCUUUAGAGUGUUGCAUAUAUCGUAUGUCACUGGAUGUGAACAAUAGCAUGUGGAGUUUUCAAUACUUUAUAGUUUCUUUGAUGCGUCACUGUAAGUUUGAAUUUAUAUCUGUCUGAUUAUUUUCAAUUUUUCAGCAAAGAAGGGCUGGUCCCCUUGGUUGAAUACAAUGAAAAGAAGAUCUUUGAGGUGAAACUGAAGGAAAUGAAAUCUGCAUUAACAACCCAGAUUGCAGAUGAUACUGAUAUAUCUGAAGUAAUAGAAACUGUGAAACAACGAGUUAAAGAUGCUAAGCUACCAGACAUUGAGGUUGUGCGAAUCUUGUGGGAUGUCAUAAUGGAUGCAGUUCAGUGGUCUGGGAAAAACCAGCAGCAGAAUGCCAAUGCAGCUCUACGCCAGGUAUGCUUUUGGUGUAUUAUUUCUUUAUUUCUGUACCAAAAACAUUUAAAUGUUCUAUAUUCAUAUUUGCUUGUAUAGAGUGAUUGAGCCAAAGAUAUUGGCUACAUGAUUGAUAUUUUUUGGUGGUUGCCUCUUCUUAAUGCUUUAUCCGUUUUAUUUGUUAAAAGAAAAAAAAGUGAUGUUUUACUUAAAAGAAUAAGUGAAGCCUGUUCCCCACCCCCAAAAAAGAGAAGUUAGAAAAAGAGAUCCUUUUUGAAUAGUAAAAUUUAUUUCAAAUAUCUUUUAGGAUGCUUGAAAUAGUUUUUAGGGGAAACCAUGAAACAAUCUCAUGAUCUUAAGAAUAAGAAACCUGUCUUAGAAUUACCCAAUUCUAGAUGUUGUUUCAUUAGCUAAUACAUGUUGGGUGAUUGUAGAAAGUUCAAUCAAGAGGCAAGAGGGUGUCUUUAGAAUUUGCUCUGAUAAAGCUUUAGACCUUGAUGACUCGAGAUUCUUAGACUAUCUAAUGGUGAAGAAAAUGCUUUGCUACUAAUGGAUGGACUUUGAAUUGAAUGUUGUUUUUCCUAUCAAAAAAAAAAAAGGAAAAAAAUUGAAUGUUGUUUUAUAAAAGUUACAUACCCCUCUGAGAUCGCUCAUAUGCUCAAACCAGGUUCUCUCCACAUCAGGAAUUUCUGUGUGAUGCCUCUGUCUCAUUAUAUGAGAAAUGCAUAUGAAGUUCUUUUGUUUCAGAGGAACCUUUCUUUUCUUUUCUUUUCUUUUCUUUUCCCAUUGUUUUAAAGAAAUGCCCUCUAUAUUGCUGAGAGUCUCCUAUUUUACAGGUGAAAGCAUGGGCAAAACUUCUGAACACCUUCUGCACCAAUGGGAAGCUCGAACUAGAGCUGUUGUACAAAGUUCAGAUCCAAUGCUAUGAGGAUGCCAAGCUGAUGAAGUUGUUUCCUGAAAUUGUGAGGUCUCUCUAUGACCAAGAUGUGCUUGCUGAAGACACCAUUCUUGUCUGGUUCCGCAGGGGAACAAACUCUAAGGGCCGGUACGUAUGUUCAUUACUUUGCCACUUGAUACACAAGACACCUUUUUAAUUAUAUCGAGAAUUGCUUUCUGUUAACUGAUGGGUUCUAAUAAUCAUUUCCGUUUCUAUUUGUGGUGCCAAGUUGAAUAAUAAGGGUGCAAUCAAUAUCGGGGCCUGUUUGGUAAUGGAAAUGAGGUGUUUUUUUUUUUUUUCCUCUCUUUUCCUUUUCAAAAACAGGGAUAUGAAACUGAAAGCAGAAAAUGCAUUCUGGACUGUGUUUUCAAUAAUAUUUCACCAAAACGGGUUAUUCCUGGAAAAUGUUAAAAUAUUGUAUAUUCCUGUUUUAAAAAUGCAAGUAUUUUCACAAAACAGAUCCCAAAAGUGAAUAUUUUCAACCUUUUCUAUGGUGAGAAUCAAAAAGUGUUUUGAAAUCCGUUUCAUUCCGAUACUAAGCAAGCAAAAUUUCAUUUGGUUUAGCCAGUUAUAGACACAAAUAUAUUCUCCAGAAUGGAGAAUAAUCUCAAUUCGAUAAAUAUCAUGGGUACCCAAGGCCUCCAGUUAAACCAGAGCUUUGAUACCAUGCUUGAUUUUUCAAUUUUCUUAAAUGCUUAAACUGUGAACAAAACUUAUGAUUACGGUGUUGGUUUUUGAAUGCAACAGGCAAACUUUCGUCAAGGCACUGGAGCCCUUUGUGAAUUGGCUGGAGGAGGCCGAGGAAGAAGAAUGAGUGCAGCAUGCUGCAAUCUACCUCGCUUCUCUCUCUACUAUCCAUUACUGUGAUACUAAAAAUUUCCAUAUCAUCUGGUGUGUGUUUGAUGAUAUGAUGACUAUGAUGAUGAUGAUGUUCAAACCUUAAUGCUUUUAAUAUCUGCAAUAAUCGACUAAACUUUGUGUCUUAGCUCUGUGAUCUUCUAUAUGCUUGAAUGUUUGGGGGGAAAGAAACCCCAAAAUUUCCAGUUAAGACUAACAAGAUCGGUGGGUUCUACUUUCCUAAUUGUCCAGCCUUAACCAGGUAUGGAGAAGCAACCGGUUUCAUCUUUUAUUCUGGUUACAUUUUCAUGCAUGGGAGUUUUCUUUUCUGGCAGUGGAACUUGCGUUUGGUUGCUGAGAAAACAGAAGUAUGAAAUGAGUUUUCUCAUGAUUUUGGUUAAAUUUUAUGUUUUCUAAAAGCAUUUUUGUAAAUGAUAAAGUUUGUUACAGAGUGUUUUUAGAAAACAUAAAAUUUGCAAACAUUUCUAACAUAAAGAAAAUACUUUUGAUGAAACUUAAAUAGCGUUUUUCAAAAAUUGAAAAACCAGUGAAGUGAUUUUCUCAAAAAUAUUUGUAGAGAAAAUAUUUUAACCAGAGAAGUUUACAUUUUUAUUCUUAAAAUUCUUUAGAAAAUUUAAAAAAUUUGAGAAAGUGAGAAAAUUUAAUUUUUACUUCCUUAUCAAGUUUUCAUCAUAUUAAUUACUCAAGAUUAAUGGUUCUAAAAAAAAUUAUGAUAUUGGAUAAUGAUGAAAACUUGAAACAAAAUAAUUAGGAUCUCUCAAAUGAUAGAAGAUCAUUAAGCAAGAUCUAUCACAAAUAUGAAAUGCAUUUUCAUAAUUCAAAGUCUGACUUAUUCAUCUUUUAGAUCUAUUCAAGAAUCCACACAUGAAAUUUAAAUGAACCACAAUGAAUCUAAAUAUUCAAGAGAACUUUCACUAUAUAUGAGAGAUUGAAAAAUCUUACAAUAGGAACUGAGUUAUACUCGAGAUUGAUGCACUUCUAGUGUUAUCCUCUCCUAAAAGACAAUCCUCCUCAUGAAAAAGAGUUUUGCCAUUAAAUAUGAUGAGAAUUGGCUCCAUCCUUUGUUUGGUAACCAAGAAAAUGAUAAAUAAUAGAGAUAGAGAAAGAGAAGGAAGAAUGAAAAGGAAAACUAAAAUUCAAAAUAUAUUCUCCAAAUUGUCAAAAAGCCUCACCUCAUCUAAAAACAUUUAGCAUCAUGUAGGAACAAAACCAAAAUAGUUUUUCACACCCCAAAAUUCGAUUUAUGGUAAAAAUAGUGGGGUAUAGUUUUCAAAAUUACCCUUUUGUUUUCUAAUCAUCUGCAUUGGAUAUGGUAUAUUCAUUCUAUGGUUACCAACGCGAUCGUGAGGAAGAAGAGUUGCGUAGUUUGCCAAAACGCCGGGUUUUGAAUAGAGAGAAGCGAGACCUUCGCAUCAAUGGCGGCGUCCUUCCCUUCGCCCAUCAUCUGCAAAGCCACCACCAACAACAACCAUCCCCACGCGCUCGAUUCUUUCCACGUGCGACGUGCCGCUGAGAUCGCCGACAAAUCUGCCGGAUUCACGUCGCCGCACCCCAACUUCGGCUGCGUGAUCGCCACAGCCGGGAAAGUCGUCGGGGAGGGCUACCUCUACGCUCAAGGAACUAAGCCGGCGGAGGUCCAGGCGGUGGAGGCCGCCGGCGAGUUGUGCAGAGGCGCCACUGCUUAUCUCAACAUGGAGCCCGGCGAUUGUCACGGUGACCGUACGGCGGUCUCUGCUCUUGUCAAGGUUUGGCCUCGAGUUUCUCUCUGUCUCUCUUUUCUUUUUGAAUGUGUUUGUUUGUUUUUUUGAUUCCUUUCAAUUCUUCAUCGCAUUGUGCAGUUCUAGCUAUGAGUGAAGUGAUCUGAUUUCUGUUUUAGGGAAUUGAAAAAAAUGAAAACACUAAUGUUCUUCAAAACAGUUUUCUAUUGAAUGAAAAACAGUUUUAUAACUUAGAAAACAGGUUUGGAAAAUGAAAACAAUUUUUUUGAGAAUGUGUUCGAAACAGAUUUGUUUUUGGAAUAAUGUUGAAGUGUUUUCAGUAAAGAAAGCCGUAGAAAAUAUGAGACUGUUUGGCAGUGGUGAAAAUGUUAUUUUCUCAUGUUCUAGAAAUCAUUUAUUUUUAUCAGAAACAUCUCUGGUGUAAUUUUCAUUUUUCUAUUACCGUAGUUUUAAAAAAAAAAUUCAAACACUUUAAUAAUUAAAGAUGAUUGAGGCUUGAAAUUUAUAGUCCAUUGUUUUAACGAAUUGCAUAAAUAGUUAAAUGAUUGAUUUUGGUGUCAGCUCAGCAUUGACAUAUGUCUGACAUUAGGCAGGAAUUACACGAGCUGUUGUUGGGAUCAGGCAUCCUUUGCAACAUCUUCGCAGCCAUGCUCUACGGGCAAUGAGGAGUGAAGGACUGCAGGUGGAUGUUCUUGGAGAGGAUCUGAAAAGUAAAAUUGUUGAGGUGGUGACAAUUUCUUCAUUAAAUUUGGUCUAUGAUGCUAUCAUUCUCGACCUGUUUGUUUGAUGUGCUUCAUAGGUUUUCUUGAAGACUGUUUGGUUACAUUUUAUUACCUAACCGUGACAAAGUGGGCAUUUCACUAUCCCUAUCUGUGAUCAUGAAAUUUUGUGAUUUGUCUGCUAGUUGCCUUUUUGUCUCUCCUUUUGCAAUUAUGGGGCCGUACUUGAGAGGGAUGCUAGAACAUGAUAUACAUUAUGGGUUAAAUCCUAACAGCUCGAGCUGUGAGGAAAAUUGGUUGCCAAUGUCAUUAACAUUUGUGAUUUGUCUCCCUCUUGUCUGCUCACUGUAUGUCUUUUCAUGUGUGAAUAUGGGACUACACGGAAGGGGGUACUAGAGUUGAGAGUAUGAUAUACAUUUUGGGCUCAAAUCCUCACAGCUUAAGCUUUUAUGAAGUUGGUACUUCAACAUCCUUGACUGUUUAUUUUUUCAUAUGGUUAGGUGUUUUGAAGUUCAAGAGUUUAGCAAAAUUUUUGGCUGUACUAGAUUAGAAUUUAGAAUUGGAAGAAUAUGAAUAUGUAUUACCUUCUUAUAUGUACGCUUCAGUACCUGUGACCAAUCUUCUUAACAUUAAUAGCACUUGAGCCAGAAGCUAUAUUCUUGCCACAAUGCCUUCUGCAGUACUGAAUAUUUGGUUCAUAAAUGUGGGCAUGGUGUGACUGCCUUUAUUAUUAAUGGAAAACUCAUUAGAUGAAUGCAAGCUUGUUCUAGAUUUCAGUUGUUAGGGACUCUUUCUCACAUUUAUAUACAUAAGUGUGCAUACAUAUAAUUCAUUAAGCAUCACAUGUUAGAACUAUUGAAAGAUUUAUAGCAUCAGGAUAUUUUAAGAAUAUAGUCUCAAAAAGUGCGCAACAAUUAGGCCUUGUUUGGUAACUGGUUUUUAGAACAAUUUUCUUUUCUCUAGAACAAAAAAAAAAGGAAAACGCGUUUGGCUAUUAGAAAACUAGAGAAUAUAAACACUUUUCUAUUCUUAAAAACAAAAAAUAGUGUUUUUAGAGAACAUUUUGUAGUUGUUUUCACUUGUUUUUUUGAGAGUUGUUUUAAAAAAUAACUAUACAAAUAUGAAAAAUUAUUAAAAAUAAAGCACUACAUGUAAAAGUUAUUUUUUAAAACAUAGAAAAUAAGUUAAGAGCAUUUUAGAUUUCCAAACAGAAUUUUAUUCUACAAAACAUCAUAAAACAAUUUUUAAAAAUUGUUCUCAAAAACUGUUUUUAGAAUCGUUUUCAAAAACACUUCCCAAUAAAGCCUUACUGUUAAGAGAGGGUGUUGUUUUUUAUGUUCUCUCUUGUUUGAUGUGCUUUUAGGUGCUAUUUGUAUACGUCCUAUGUACUUUGGUGUGUCGUCUUUUGGUGCAUUUUAUUAUAUUUGUAUUAUUUGCUUAUCAAAGAAAAAAAAAAACCUGUAUCAUGAGUAACAUUAUCAUUGUAUGCUCAUUUCAUUGGGAAAAAAGUGUUUUGAGCUGUUUGUCUCUUAAACACUUACUACGAGAUAUAUAAAUUAAGCAUCACAUUUAGAACUAUUGACUAGAUAUAUAGUAUGGGAAUAUUUUAAAAAUAGGUUCUUGGAAGGUGCUCAAAAAUCAAUGUGUAAUGAGCAUUAUACAUUGUGUUUCUAUGCUGAUUUUGUUGGGAAAAGUGAUCUGAGCUGUUUGCCUUCCAAGCACUCAUUGCAAGUGAUUUCAGUAUUCAAUGCUAUAUUUUGGCUGACAUUUCAAAAUUUUAUUUUAGGAAGCUUUAAAAUCGUGCCUCAUCGUCAAUGCUCCUUUGAUAUAUAGAGCUGCUUCUCGAGUUCCCUUUUCUGUUCUCAAGUAUGCUAUGACCCUUGAUGGUGAGGGUUAUGAAUUUAAUAAAAUUUUUACCCUCUUCUCUCUCUCUCUCUCUCUUAAUUUUUAAUUUUUUUUUAUUUCUUCCAAUUUCUUUCUUUUUUUUUAAUGGUAAUCUUAACCUCCAAUUAAUUAAAGAGGACUUCAAAAUUUGAAAUAAACAGUAGUUUAUUCUCUGAUGGUCUUCUUUGGUUCUAACAGGAAAAAUUGCUGCUAGUAGUGGGCAUGCGUCAUGGAUAAGCAGCAAAGAAUCUAGGUAUCGAGUGUUUGAACUGCGGGGUAGAAGUGAUGCCAUAGUUGUGGGAGGAAACACUGUGCGCAAAGACAGUAUGUAUUCAUUUUCUGUUGCUUUGAAGCUUAUCCAGUGAUGUAGUUAUGAAGAUGCUCAGGUUGCUGUUACAAGUUCUUCCUUUUCUUCAUUUUCUUUUGAAUAUAGAUCCACGGCUAACUGCAAGACAUGGAGGUGGACACGUGCCCAUUCGGAUUGUAAUGUCACGGACACUUAAUCUUCCUGAGGUAGCCAAUCUUUGGGAUGUAUCAAGUGUACCUACUAUAGUUGUAACACAAAGAGGUGCAAGGAAGAGUUUCCAGAAAUUUCUUGCUUCAAAAGGUGUUGAAGUAGUUGAAUUUGACAUCCUAAACACUAGAGAUGUUAUGGAAUAUUUUUAUGAUCGUGGGUACCUUUCAAUUUUGUGGGAAUGCGGAGGAACAUUGGCUGCAUCUGCUAUUUCAUCUGGCAUCAUACACAAGGUGCUUGUUAGUUAUGAAUUUAUAUCAAAUGUGUCGACAGGGUUGUUCAUUCUCUUGUUAAAUUUUAGCCAAUUGAUAAGGAAAAGUCAUUGAAAGGUUUAUUGUAUAUCCUCGUGUAUUAUUGAGGCCUAUUAUUUUAUCAGGUGAAGCUCUUUACAAAUUUUCAAUAAGAGUAGGAUUUUUGCUAGUUUAGGUGAUAAAUGUUACUGUAAAUAUUUUCCUCAUUUUGGGCUCCCUUGUGGUUUUGGCUUUUUUUAUGGUUGUUCAACUGAUUCUUGUUAAUGUAGGUAUUUGCAUUUGUUGCCCCUAAAAUUAUAGGUGGAAAGAAUGCACCAACUCCUGUUGGUGAACUGGGAAUGGUUGAGAUGACGCAAGCACUAGAUUUAAUCGAUUUUUCCUAUGAGCAGGUUGGUGGUGGUUCUGUAUGCACUUGACACUACAUUUGUUUCACACUGACAAUAUCUCUUCAUUGCCUUAAGUUUGGGUCCGUCUGAUUGAUUGCAUCUUUUUAUCAUUCAUCUUUCCUUUUAAUUUUUAAUAUCUGUGUGCCUAUUGUAUUUACUUCUCAAUGCUAUAUAAUAACUUACAGGCAAAUUUUUUUUAGACUAUACUUGUUACUGGCAGCUCGCAGACUUUAAAUCUUUUAUCAUAAGAAGCAUAAUUCUAUCAAUAGAAAAAAGGACACAAGGAAGGAAACUAUGUUCUUUAAAAAAGAAGAAAGACAACCAGAAGCCCAACAACACCCAAGAAACCAAUGCACCUGUAACAGCACUUCUGUGGGGAAAGCAAGGAGAGAAAAAAUGCCGUCCAACUUUUUAAUAGCUUUCUUGUAUACUUAUUAUCCUUAAAUAUGUUUGUGCUACUUCUUGUCUUUUAUUACAUAUUUUAUAUCAAUUAAAUCUUAAAAUAAAUUAAAUCACUCCUUUGUACUGGUUAUCAGUAAACCUUUUAUAUAAACUUCAAUUGCAACUUAAAAGUCAAAUGAUAAAAUUGGCCACUCUAGAAUUUCUAUUGUAUGCAUGAUGUGAGGGUAUCGUUUUGUCUAAUAAAAAAAAUGGAUAAAUUAGAUUUCUGCAAAAGUGCAAUCUUCAUGAGCAGAGCUAAAUGGGGAAGACUACUAGACUUCGGAUGGGCUGCAAUGACCAUGAAAUAUAAUUAUAAUGCAUGUGCUUUGUUUUGAAAUUUCUGUCUGCAUUUAUUUUUGGGUUUGUACUGGUUCUUACUUCUUGCAUAUGAACUGCAGAUUGGACCUGACAUGCUUAUUAGUGGAUUUCUUCAGCCCUUUCCUGAUCCUACUCCUGUUAUCCCAUCAGUGGAUGAAACUUAUGCAAUUGAUCCUUCUGUUACUCCUUAUGAAUCAAUCAUCAUAUUCUUUUAUAAAACAUGGGAUCUUUAUGGAGCUUUUUCAAACUUCUCUCCUCACCCUAUACAAAUGCCUGAUGAAAAUGGUGAUUAUCAGACCUGGUCAAGCGUAGAGCAUUAUUACCAGGUUACUACUUUUGCUGCAUAAAUUAUAUUAUUCUUGCUGCAACUUUGGUUAAGAUAUGUCAAAGCAUUCUCCCAACUGCAGGCACACAAGUUUGUUGGGGUUAAUGACCCUGUACCAAGAGAUUUUGUCGAGGACAUAAAAUCUGCAAAAAGUCCUGAGGAAGCAGCAAGAAUGGGAAGGACAAUACAGAGGCAGCAUCCUGAUCUGGUAUGGUUCUCAUGCAAUUGAUUUUUUUCUAGUCUAGUUACUCAAAACCCAGUUAAAAGACUACAAUUUCUUCUAAUAUUCAUUUAUUUCUGUCUAAAAAUAUUUCCCUGCAGAAACUUGGUUAAUUAAACUAUUAGAUCCCUAACAUUAUCAGCUUUGACUUCCUUGACUGGUAAACUUUUCCUAAAUUUGUGGGGUGUUAUUGCUAUAUUUCAAAGUUUUUUUUUUUUUUCUGGAAAAGUUAUGUAAAAUUUAAGUUCCAUCGUUUUGAUCCAUCAUGAAGGAGAACAAAUAGGUGUUAUUUAUUUUUCUCCAACGAUUUUUGCUUUUUACCAUGUCAACUGCUUUUGUGCAAACAAAAAAAGGGCUGCCCCAGCACAAAGGUGUGGGUGUCAACUGUUGAUGUGGGUGUAGGUGGUUGGAGAAAAUCCAGGAUUUCAAUCCAUCCAACCCCCCCAAAUCUACUUCCACAAAGGACCAUGUAUUACAUUUGGGUACAUGGGCACAUCAUUCAUAAAAUCAUGCACAAAGAUAAAGAGCUAUGAACAACUUACUAAGUGAUAUGAUUAUACAUGCAUAGUUGCUUUUGCAACUACUAAAAUAAAUAUGAAUCACUAAUAAGUGAUAUGAUUAUAUGGUUGAAAGUUGACAUGAAAACAAACAAAAUUAUAAUAAGUUACUUACUAUGAACUACUUCAUGAGGUUAUGGGGGCCAUAAUCACACAAUUCGGUGGUUAUGAACUUUGGCUGUAUUUCUUGAUUUUAAGGUGUACCAUUGUAUAAAAAUAUUAUUUCACAAUACAUGUUUCAAUUUCCAGCUAUAAUGUAUAGUUUAUAAAAGAAACCAUUAUUUCAUUGGAUUCAAAAUAUGUCAACAAAUUAGAUUAUAGGUUUUGGAUGUAAAUAUCAUGAUUGUAAUUCAUGUCCCACAAAAAUGUGGACCUAAAAAAGAAUGAUCUUUCAUGAAAAAAUAAACAAAAAGAAGGUGAGGUUAGUACUGGAUCAAUAGAAAGUUAUGAUAUUGUAGCCUACUGCUCAUAUGCAUAUGCCUAAUGCAUCUUACCCUCGGGGGUUGUAGCAAGGAUGCUGAUUGGGAAUAUUCUGGACCCAUCUCUGAAUUGUUACCUUAUCAUCAAAUUUCAUGCCUCCCAACUUUGGUUCAUUGGUGGAAAGUUGUGCAAGCUCAGUCAUGGCUUUCCCUUCCAUAUCAAACUUAUCUUCAUCUGAUUACAAAGUGCUAACUGGUAUCAUGUAUCAUGUCUGCAACCCAAAAACAUACAUUUCUAUUUUAUUUUAUGUUUUAAUAACAGAUUCCAUAACUGUCCAAGGAGAGGUAAUCUUACAUCAUUUACUAAUAAUUAAUUUAUUUUUAGUUUUGGGAUGUUAUUUACUUGGAUGCUGAAUGUCUAUUCAUUCUUCAUUAACUUCCAUUAUGUUCCCAAUAAAGAUGUAACUAUGACCGAAGAAGAAUCAUAAGAAUACAUGACUUAUCCAACGUACUUCUACCUCCAGUUUCCUUGAUUUGAUUUUCUGUUCAAACAAACUGAGGCUUAUGAUUAGCAUUAAUGUUGAGUUGAACUGCUUGCAUUUACUUUGCAAUCUGAUGCCACUAUUUUUUGUGUCUAAUGCAGGUAAGAUCUGAUUGGGACGCUGUCAAGAUUGAUGUCAUGUACAGGGCCUUGAAAUGCAAAUUUUCAAUUUAUCCUCAUUUGAAUUCUAUGCUGGUCUCUACUGCUGGGUCAGUUCUCGUUGAAGCUUCCCCACAUGAUCUCUUCUGGGGCGGAGGUCGGGAUGGAGAAGGCCUAAAUUAUCUGGGUAGGCUUCUCAUGCAGUUGAGGUCAGAAUUCCUAGGCGAGUCCUUAACAUCAAGUGAGAGCUCUUUCCUAGCUCUAUAAUAUAUGAAGAAAGAGACAGUAUAAUGAGAACUUAACCCUGAUAAUCUGUAGAUCCCUUUUGUAACAUUAUCAUUAUGCAAAUAAUUAGUGUAAUUUCAUGAGAUGUUUUUCAAUAAAAAUCCUAAUCAUUACUAAGGAUUAAUCUUCAUUGCAUCUCAAUUGAGAAAAAAAAAAAAACCUGACUCAGGUUUUUCUGUCCUAAAAAUCAUCUAUUCACUUAACCCUCUAAGAAAAUAUUCUCAUUUGCCUCUGAUGGCAACCUAUCAGAUUUGUGGUGCUCAUAGAAGCUGUUUUGUGACAGCUUCCCAAUUGUGUGAAUCUUUGAGGAUAUUGUUUGUAGAAUUAUGACAACAGAGGUGAAGCAUGGAACUGUUUUUGUCCGGGUUUAGCAGGUCGAGUUUAUUAUAUAUGGAGGAUUAUGGUGUUCUGGAGCAGGCUCUGGUUUGAAAAGGUUGAAGAAGUCACUAUUGUAGGGGACUGUUUUUUCUGGACUAACAGGUUGCAUUUAUUAUAUAUGGAGGUUUUUGGUGUCUGGUAGGCUCUAGUUAAAGAAGUUGAAGUCGCCAUGGUAGAAUUAGGGGUGGAAGUAUGGAGGACUAGAGAGCGCUGUGUUUGGGACCUUCACUGAACAUGCCAAUCACAAAGGAGCUUUAUAUGUAUAUUGGCUUCGCUUAGGCCAGAGCUUAGGCCAGAGCUUAGUCCAGGAUCACUAGUGUCAUUUCUGAAGAAUGGUUGGUGGUAUUACCAGAUGUUUUAGGGAAAAGUCAGGCUCAAGAAACACUUGAAAUUUUUGAGACCUCCAAAGUUGACUGUAAAUUUAAUAAUAUAGAUUAGGGUGCAACUACAAAGUCAUAGCAGGAGAAAGUAAUGAAGUUUGCUUGAAAAGAUGGAUAUAAAAGUGCCUACAAAAAAUAGGUAGAAGAAGGUUUUCCCUUCUUUUCAUAGGUAAAUUUUUGUUCUAUUUGGACUUUGAACCUGAAGCCUCCUACAAAACCUCCAACAAAUCCUCCCCAACCCUUUACCACUUGCCGGGCCGCCUCAAUGUCUGGAAGAAGGUUUUCCUUUUGAGUGGUUAACAAUAAUUGAGAAGAAGCUGAAAUGAAGAAAGCAAUGAAGUCUCUUUUGACUAAGACGGAUAACAGAGGUUCCUUUGCAAGGGUAUUUGCAUAGUUUUGAAAGGCAUGUUUAAAGCACGCAUAGCUCCAAGACGCAACUACUCUGUAAUUAUAGCGCUUUGCUUAUCAAGACUAGUCUUAUUGAAGAGGCACCCCUUUGUCUACUUUACACUUAUUCUUGAAAUUUUUAAUUGUAUUUUGAAAUUUGUAUAAUUUCAUUACUUUUGAUAUGCAUUUUAAGUCAGGUUUCACUUCACUCAAGCCUUGUAUUGUGUCUUGUGCCUUAGAUGUUAGAGCAAACUAAUUGAUUUCUGGUCAAAGAAUUACGCUGUCAAUCAAGCAAUACUCAUGAAAGGAUAACCAACAUGAGUUGGGGAGGCAUAAUGGUCAAUGACCACAGCCUGCACUCAUGCCCAGAAGUUUAGAUUGUAGGUUUUUGACUGUAAGUAUCUUGACUGUAGCCCAUGUCCCACAAAAAAUGAAUGCCUAAAUAGGCUAGAUCUUUCCUACAAACAUAAAUAAAAAGAAGGUAAAGUUAGUACUGGAUUGUUAGAAGUUUUGAUAAUGUAGCCUCCUGCUCAUAUGCAUAUUCCUAAUGCAUAUGUCAGCCUCAGGGUUGUAACAAGGAUGCUGAUUCUGUACCCAUCUCUGACUCAUCAUGAUUAUCAUCAAAUGUCAUGCCUUACAAGUCAUAACUUCUAUCCAUUGGUGGGGCAUUAUGCCUGCUCAUUUGUGGCUUUCCAAUCCAUGUUAAACUUAUCUUCAUCUAAUUGAAGUAAUGCAACCAAUAUUAGGUCUGCAAAAUAAAAACAUAGAACUUUUAUUUUAUUUUAUUUUAUUUCUUUUGAAAGAUUCCAUAAAUGCAACCAAUAUUAUCUUCAUUGUCUCAUUCAUUUCCAUUAUGUUAGCAAUAACAAUGUGAUUGUACCAAAACUAAAACCAUAACUAUACAUGACUUAUCCAACACACUUCCACCCCCAUUUUCCUUGAUUUGAUUUUCUGUUCAAACAAACUGAGGCUGAGGAUUAGUAUUCAUUUUGAGUUGGAUUAGUAUUCUUUUGCCUCUGAUGUCUACCUAUUAGAAUUUGGUGCCCACGGAAGCUGUUUGUGACAGCUGCCCAAUUGUCUGAAUCUGAGGAGGGUGUUUUUUUUUUUUUCUUUUUUAGGCAGAAUUAGGGCUAUGAUAGAAGAGGUGAAGCAUGGGACUGUUCAUUAGAGCUUAAAAGGUUGAGUUUAUUAUAUGCAGAAGAUUGUGGGGUUCUGAGGAAAGCUCUAGUUAAAAAGGUUGAAGGAGCCCCAUGGUAGGGGACUGUUUUUUCUAGUUUUAACAGGUUCAAUUUGUUAUAUAUUGAAGAUUGUUAGGUUGGGAUGGGCUUUUGUUAAAAUGUUUGAAGAAGUCACUGUGGUAGGGGACUGUUCUUUCUGGUUUAACAGGUUGAGUAUAUUAUAUAGAGGAAUUUGGUGCUUGGAGGUGAGUUGUUGAAGAAGAAGUCCCCAUGGCAGGGGACUGCAUUUUCUGGUUUAACUAAUGGAAUUUAUUAUAUAUAGAGGAUUAUGGUUUUAUGGGGCAGGCUCUAGUUAAUAAGGUUGAAGAAGUUUGCCAUGGUAGAAUUAGAGGGAUGAAGUAUGGGGUACCAGAAAGCACUGUGUUUGGGACCUCUCUGAUUAAGCCCCAGAUCAGCUGCCAAUCACAGAGGAGUCUUAUUGUGCUUCACAGGAGAUGUUGGGGGUCAAACUCCCGGUUGAGAUCACGGAGAUUGAGCUACCCGGUUAGCUUGUCGGGGCUUUAAGGGGGCAGCACCCUUUAGAAAAAAAAAGUAUGACGAAUUUGCCCCUAUUGUAUUUUUAACCUUCUUAUGAUAUAGUAGGGUUUUGUUUUAGGAAAAAAAAUGGAGUGUGAUCGUAAUUGAGAGGAGAGUGAGAGUCUUCAGUAUUGUAACCCUUCAUUUUCAUUUGUUACUUAUUAGAAAAAAACUAAGAAACAUGGUCCGUGGCUAAGAAGAUAAGAAUUCAUUUCUUAAAUUUUAAAAAUUUUUAAAAAUAUUUUCAAGUAUACAAGAAAUAUACUUAGGUUUUGUAUAAGAAUAUUAUGUUUCUUAAAAGUCUUUUUUUUAUUUUUAAAAACAAAAAAUAGAAAAUAUAUUUAAACAUCACUUGAGGAUUUAUUUGGAUAUAUCUUUUAUUUUCUAAUUUUCAAAAUAUUUUUUUUUUUUGAGUUUACGUUUACACAACAUGUUAGUGAUGUCAAUCUAAUUAGACUUUUGGUCAAAAUUUCUAUGCCUUAAACCAAUUUUGAUUAUCAUAUGGAAAAUGAACAAAUUAAUCCAAAAAAGAGUACACAAAACUUUCUAGUGCAUAAUGAUUAGUGCUAUUGAUUGCACAUGGAAAGAUCAAAACUAGAACUUGAAACGUGGUCAAUAGGAUGAAUGAGGACCCACAUUUGAAACCCUAAUCGCUUAGAAACUAAGCAUAGCUGCCUUGAUGCUUUUGGCCUUUGAUUAGGUAAAAGCAAAAUAAUAAAAAAAAUUGUUUGACGAUAAUUCAAUACUAUAAUGGAUUGUAGGAAGGUCUUAGCCUCAAUGCUUCACUAAAAUUGUUCCAAUUAAGGGUGGGGAAGAAAAAGGGACUUAGUCUAUUGAGGUGGGCUAGGCUGAGGAUUGUGGUGAAAGAAAAUGAAAACAAAGGGCUUGAAUGGGAUUGCGUACUGUAUGCAUAAAAUAGGUUUUUUUUUAAGACUUUUUUUUUUCUUAAAAAAAAAAAUUAGUUGUUAAGUAAAUUUUUGGCAUUGGAUCGGGUAUUUAUGAAGAGCAAGUUGUUCCAGCUCGAUACCAUCAAGAAUUUCUGACUAGCGUGGAAAUAAGGUUAUCUACGGAAUAUUUUUUCUUUUGUCUUUUGCAAAGUAUUCUAAACAAUAAUUUAAAAAAUGAUUAAAAACUUUUCAUACGGAGAAUAAGGUAAGAAAAUUAUUUUUUAUAUUUGAAUUUCUAAUCAAAAUUUUGUUCUUAAAAGUAAUUGAAAAUUGUUUUUAAAAUUUAUUCUUAAAAAUUAUUUUUUUAAGAACUAUUUUAAAAAAGGUUAUCAAACAAAUCUGGAUGGUUCAAACUCAACUAUUAAAAAUGAAUUAUUGAAAACAUUUCUUAAAACAAUUGUUUUAAGGAAUUUAAUUUUUUUUUUUUAAAAAAAAUAUCUCUAUUUUCAAAAGAAAUUCUUGAAAAAAAAAAAAAAACUAUUUUCAAGUUGAAAAUUAGUAAAAUUUUUUUUUUUUAAACUUUGGAAAAUCAUAUUUUAUUCUUUUUUUUUAAAAAAAAAAGGUGAAAAAAUAAAAAUAAAAGCUUAAACUUAACAAAUUUCUCCUAUAUAUUUUUCCAAAUCCAUUUCUCUUUUCUCUUUUUAUUAUUAUUAUUAUUAUUAUUAAGAUUGUCAAAUUUUAACUACAUUCACAUGUGGCAUAAACCCAUUUCUUUGAAUUUUCUGAUGGAAAAAUCCACAAUUUAUUAGAAUCAUUCUCUGCAAUUAAUCAAUGUGGAGCAGGCAAAGCAAAAAUCUCAUGAGAAUCCCCCAUCAAAAAGAAAAGGCCUAAAUUAUAGACCCGACUCAGCCACAUGUUGAGUUAUGGGUAUCUUCAUUUUCCUUUUCCCCCCAUCAUUUUCCUGGAAUAGUAAUUCAAUGCAUCUUCCAAUUUCCACCUCUCUCUCUCUCUCUCUCUCUCUCUCUCUCUCUCUCUCUCUCUCUCUCUCUCUCAUAUAAAGCGACUUUAUUUUCCUUUCAUGUUCUCUUGUGAUUCAAAUCUAGUGACUAGACUUCAGCAGAAACCCCAUAGAGAACUAAAAAAAGAAUAAAAUUGGCCUCAAAGUCCACUAUUGCAUUUUAUUGAGAGUGACAAAAUUUCAAUUUCAUUUAAAAUUAACAUUAAAUCUUUGAGUUUGUUGGAUCUCUUGAAAAGAUCACAAGUAGACAAAGAAGUUUCUGGCUGUGCAGCUGGAAUUUUAACCGCAUGUUUAAAACUUAUCUUAGAAAAUAAUUUUUUAGAAAGAAAAUAAUUUUUUAGUUUGAAUAACAAUUUUGAAAAAUUGUAUAAUAAAAUCAGUUUUUAAAAAUUUAUUCUAAAGAUACAUUAAUUUUUAGAACAAAUUUAAUGUAUUUUUAAGUGUUUUUUUUUAUAAGGUGGUUUAACACAUAAUUAAAAAUAUGAAAAACAUUUAAAAGUAAGUUCCACAACCAAAAUAUACAAAAAAAACAAUGUUUUAUUCUUAAAAAUAGAAAAUAAUGUAUUUUUAGAAAAUAUUUUUUAAUUAUUUUUAUGUUGUUUUAAAAUAUAAUUAUAUAAAUAAGAAAAAAUAAUUAAAAGUAAAAUACUAUACAUAAAAGUUAUUUUUAAGAUAUAUCUAAAAAUAUAGAAAAAAUAGGUUAAAACAUUUUAAGAUCUGAAACAAAUUUUUAUUUUACAAAAUAUUAUAAAAUGGUUUUAAAAAACUGUUUUUUUAGAACUAUUUUCAAAAACACAUCCAAAACAAAGUCUUCAUAUUUUUUUUUUCUUCAAAAUAUUGAUUAAUAAGAUCGAGUUAUACGAGACUCUACAUUCGAAAGCUUUAUUCAAACAUUUUUAAAAGUCGUUUCUAAAUUUAACAUCAUCUCUAAAACUUAUAUCUCAUGCUUAUUUUCUUCACAACCUAAAAUUUUCUUUUUAAAUUAGGAUUUUAUAGUGAUUUGUUUGGUCGUCAAGAAAAUAAUAGUUCAUGGAAAAUCAAACGUUAGGGGGAUUUUAUAUUUCCAUGCAUGCAAAAUAAAUGAAUUAGCUUUAUCUAGAAAGUGGAAAUAGCAUAUUUCUUCAACUAAAAGUCAUAGGCACAUGGGUAGAUAGCCAGCUAAUGACAACAUGUUGGUGAGAAAGGGAGGCGAUAUGAGAGGCUUACACAUCAACAUGCAAGAAGUUAAUGUUAUGGAAACAGUGAGCUAAAGUUUAUCAUUGGAUGUGACACAAUUUUGGAAUAUUUGGUUGUGAAAAGUGGAAUUGGUUUUGAAGACACAAUUUCGAUUUUUAAAAUAGACCACAUUUAAUUGUUGAAGUGCUUUAUUUUUCAAAUCAUAAGAUGGUUUUCUAAAUAUGAUUUAUUUUUAAAAAAUCCUCACAUAUGUGUUUAGUAUCAUUUUAAUUGUUUUUGAGAGGUGUCUAUGCAUGAAAGUGAUGUUAUCGAAACAAUGGGCGAAACUUUAUUAUUGGAUGUGACAUACUUUGGAAUGCAAGGAGUAUUUGGUGGCGAAAAUGGAAAUUGGUUUUGAAGACAUGACUUCGAGUUUGAAAAUAAAUCACUUCCAAUUGUGAGAGUGUUUUAUUUUUUAAAUCAUAAAAUAUGGUAUUUCAAGGUUUCCUAAAAAUGAUUUAUUUUGAAAACUUUGUAGAAUAUGUAUAUAGUAUCAUUUUAAUUAUCUUUGACAUGUUAUGAAAUUGGUGUCAUGCAAACAAUGGGCUAAAGUUUCUUGUUGAAUGUGACAAAAUUUUGGAAUUUAAGGUUGCAUUUGAUAGUGAAAAAAAAAAUUUGAUUUUGAAGACAUGAUUUCGAUUUUGAAAAUAAACUAAUUUUAUAUUUCAAGUCAUAAAAUACAAUAUUUUUUCAAAAUAUGAUUUUCUUUUUUGAAAAAAGUCAUCUAUCUAGUAUCAUUUCGAUUCCCUUUAAAAGGCUUACACAUGUUACAAAGGAUGUGACUCAAUUUGAAAUCUAAGCUUGUAUUUGAUAAUGAAAAUGGAAGUUGGUUUAGAAGACAUGAUUUCAAGUUUGAAAAUGAAUUGUUUCUAAUUGUUAAAGUGUUUUAUUUUUUAGAUCAUAAAAUACAAUAUUUUAAUGUUUUCUAAAAAUGAUCUAUUUAAAAUCAUCACGAAGUAUGUAUUUUAAAUCAUUUCAAUUAAUUGCUUUUGAGUGACUUACAUAUGUCUAAAAUUGAUGUUACGAAACAAUGGGAUAAAAUCUAUUAUUGGAUGUGAAAGAAUGUAUUUGAUAGUGAAAAUGAAAAUUGGUUUUGUAGACAUGACUUUAAUUUUGAAAAUAGACCACUUACAAUGGUUAAAGUGCUUUGUUUUUCAAAUUAUAAAAUACAAUCUUUCAAAGAUUUUCUAAAAAUAAUGUAUUUCAAAAACAUCGUCAAAUAUGUAUUUAAUAUUAUUUCAAUUUAUUGUCUUUUGAGGGGGUUAGACAUGGGUGAAAUUGAUGUUAUGGAAACAAUGGGCUAAAGUUUAUUAUUGGAUGUGACACAAUUUUGGAAUCUAAGGGUGUGUGUGGGAGGAAAAAUAGAAAUUGGUUUUGAAGGCAGGACUUUGAUUUUGACAAUAGGCACUUUUAAUUAUUAAAAUGCUUUUAUUUUUCAUAUCAUAAAAUAUGAAAUUUCAAGGUUUUCUAAAAGUGAUUUAUUUUGAAAACUUUGUCAAAUAUAUGGUUGGUACCAUUUUACUUAUCUUUUUGAAAAUAGAAAAUAGUUUUUCAUUUUCACUUUGGACUUUAAAUUGAGUUUUGAGCAAAAAUUACUUCCUUCAAAAACAAAAAUUCGAAAUCUAGAUUGGGUUUCAAAAUAAUUCCCAAUCUAAUAAGUUUAUGCCAUAUAAGCAUCCCUGUGAUAAAAUUGUAGUUGAUGAUUGUGGUUUUGAAUAUUUUUUAAAAUGAUUAAAACUAUAGUAACUAACUACAAUUUUAAAUUAAAGCUUAAAACUAUAGUUAGUAAUUACGGUUUUGAACUUAACUUCAAAUUUUUUUAUACAUAUGAAAUUAUGUUAUUUCAUUUAAAAUAUUUUAGUUUAAUUCAAAACCGUAGCCACAAAUUAAUAUUUUAAGCUUAAGUUUAAAACCGUAAUUGAUGACUACGAUUUUGAUCAUUUUAAAAAAAAUUCAAAAAUAUAGUUACUAACUGCAAUUUUAUGAUAUGGAUGUUUAUGUAGUGAAAAUGCACUAAGUAAAUCUAGUUUAUGGAUUAUAUUUUUAAAAUGGACUAUUUUUGGUCAAAAUUCCCAUGAAACAAUAAUUCAUCUUAACAUCAUUUAAAUCCAAAUGAUGACAUCUGAACAUCAUAAUGUGACAACCACAAUUCAUCUAAAUUCAGAUGCAAUUAAGUAAUAUCGAGUACAUCCUAACAUCAUUUAAUGCAGAAAACCCUUUAAAAUCUUAAAUGUUGGGGUCAAGUUUUGAAAUGUAGGUGAAAAACCCUAGUCAGUCAUGUGAUUCCACAGCCAUUGAAAAUCUGUUGAACUAAAUAAAUGAAAACAACAACCAUACAAGCUAUGGACCACCCAUCUUCUCCAACCCCCAAAAGUCCAUUACCAUAAAUAAAAAAAUUUAUUAGGGUUUGAGAUAAUCAUGUAGAACCCUUGACAUUAUUUAAAGCAUGUGAUGACAAGCUAACCUAAACCAAUGUCCACCACCAUUUAGUAUAGCAAUUAACUUUUGCUUUUAGCAUUAUAAGUAGGAAAGGAAGAGAGUGUUUGUUUUUUAAGUUUUUGUUAAACAUAAUGUACUUUUAUACUUUAAAUUAUUUGUUUUUCUAUUUUUUUUAAUGAUUUAUUAUAAAUUUUUUAUUGAAUAAAAAAAUUAAAAUAUUUGAUCUUUUCUAAAUGAAAAAAAUUAACAUUUUUUUUUCUAAUACUUAAUAGAAAUAAAAUAUUAUAAAAAUAAACCAUUUAAUGUUUAACACUAUUAAAUACUAUUUAAUUUUAAGUUCUAUUCAGAAUUAAGUUUUAAAAAAGAACACCAUUGAAAUAUUACUUUUAUUAUAUAAUUGAUUUUAUUUUUGAGAUAAAUACUUUUAUUAAAAAUUAGAAUAAUUUUGACAUUUUAAAAUUUUUAAUCAAAUUAAAAUAUGCUUUCUCUAUCAUAUUUGAGGAAAAAUAUAAUUUUUUUUUCCUUAACAAGUAUUAGCAUAUUCAUAGCAAAACAAUGUUUUUGCUAACAUAGAAAUUCUUUUACUAGAAUCUAAUGUUCCAAGAUUGAAUUUUUAUUUAUUUAUUUAUUUAUUUUUGAAGAUAAUUUGGCAAUGGAUUCAAUUCAAUUUUUAAUGAAGUUUGUAAAAACUUUUAAUAUUAAUUUUUUUAUAAAGAAAAUAUACAUAUAUAUUUAAAAGCAGGAGGUGAGGUGGGGUGGUGGUCCAUUGUGGGGCAUUUUGGUUAAGAAAUGUUAGUGGUUUUGGACCACAAAGGGGACUCUCAAUUUGUGACAUUUACAAUAGAAAGUACAACUACAAGUCUACAACUCUCAUGAUACCUACAAUUUAUGUGGUAUGUGAUUUUUAAGAGUGUUAUAUAUUAGCUGUAAAUGAGUGGAAAGUAUUUCAUUCAUUGUAAUAUUGGUUUCAUGGCAGGUUUGCGUUGACUCUUUUUUAAAAUACAUUUCCUAUAGAAAUCUUUAGGCUAUGUUUGUCCCUAAAGUUUGGGAGAAAAUGUGAGAGAUAGAAAAUAGGGAGAAAAAGUUAAAGGAUAAAAAAAAAGUGAAAAAAAUUAAAAAAUGGAUUUAAAAUUAAUAAAUUAUUUUUAUAUCACAUUUCAAAUUUGUUUCACUUAUUUAACUCUUGUAUAUAAAAAUUAAAUAAUUUAAAAAUAUAUAAGUUUCUUAUUAUUUUAAGUAUAUUUAAUUUUCUUUCUUAUUUUUGUGAUAUAAUUAAAUAUGAAAAAAAUCAUUUUCUUAGUAUUUUUUUUCCUUGAUAUUUUUCAAAAACUAAACAUAGUCUUAAGGAGAAAAAAAGAAUCACAUCUAGAAAUAGUGCCUUUAAAACAAAUUUGAUUUCUUACAAAUCUCUUAAUAUUUUUUUAAUAUGGUUCUCAAAAUUAUAGAUUUUAAAUUUGUAAUAAAAACCAUAAUAUUUAAAUAUUGAUUUUUAAUUUGUGGAUAUGUUUGGUUCUCAGAAAAUAUUAAAAAAAUAGUUUUUUCAUAUUUAAUUUCACAAUAAAAAAAUAAAAUAUAAUUAAAAUUAAUUAGAAAUGUAUAUAUUUUAAAAUUAUUUAAUCUUUAUAUAAUGGAAAAAAAAUGAAAUGAGUUUGAAGAAAUAUAUAAAAAUAAUUUAUUGACUUUAAAUCUAUUUUUCAUUUUCCUUCUACUUUUUCUCUCAAUUUUCUUUUCCUCAAGUUUUUUGGGAAUUAAAUGCAUUUUUUAUAUUUUACCAUCAUAAUUUUCAAGUAUGAAUUUUUUCCUCUCAUUUGAUUUUUUUUUAUAUCAAAAUAACAACAUGGCAUCCACAUGGCAAAAAAAAAAAUGAUUAUUAUAACAUAAAUUUCAAACCAAGCUAAAAAUCUUAGGUAUUUGGGCCUACCAUUGUUAUAUUUAUGAAAUUAAUAGGUUUUAAAAUAAUUUAAUAAAGUGUAAAAUUAUAAGGAGGUGUCAAGUUAAGUGCUUGAAUGUUGACAUCUCAGCAAGCAUGAAAGUGAAAUACAUACUUUGGAUUCCAUAAUGUUUAAUAGUAAUUAGUAAACCAAUAAAUAAGCCUUGCAUUUCUCACAUGACUUAAUUUUAAAAAGUGUUUUACUUUAUUUGAUGAUGUUGAUUGCCAUUGAUGGCUUGUUGACUUCAAUCAUAUCUCUCAUGGCAACCGUGAGUGAAAAUUGACUUGCAAAAAUAAUCCCAAAUUAAAUUACUUGAAAUUAUUAUUAUUAUUACUAUUAUUAUUAAUGUUUGUGUUAAACAAUUUGCAAUUAGACCUUUUUCUUAAAAAAAAAACAAAAAACAAAAAUUGUUACUAAUUUAUAUAUAUAUUUUAAAUUUAGAAAACACCUUUGAUAAUUUUUUUUAAUUGAAAAUAGUUUUCUAUAAUUUAUUUUAAAAUAUAUUAUAUUUUUUAAAAUAAAUUUAAGGUAUUUAUAGGUGUUUUUUUUAUUUAAAGUAUUAUAAAAAAACAACCGAAAAUAUAAAAAAUACUUCAAGAACUUUUAUAUUAUAAGUAAUCACAAAAUAUUAUCCGUAUAAAGAAUAAAUCCAAAAAAUUAUUUUUUGAGUUUGUAAAAAAAAAUAUAUAUUCAUAAAAAUAGAUGAAAAAUAAGAAAAAUAUACAAGAAAAAGAAAAUAGAGAGAUAAAAAAUAAAAAAUAAAUUUAAAAUCAAUAAAUUGUUUUAAUAUCUCACUUUAAACUCAUUUAAUUUAUGUAACACUUCUAUAAAAAUUAAAUAAUUUAAAGAUAUAAAAGUUUUUUUUACUAAUUUUAAUUAUUAUUACUAUUUUUGUAUUUUCCAUAAAUCCAAACUUGCAUUUUUUUCCGGGGUGCUAAGGGGUGAAGGUUUGCCAAAAAAACCUUNNNNNNNNNNNNNNNNNNNNNNNNNNNNNNNNNNNNNNNNNNNNNNNNNNNNNNNNNNNNNNNNNNNNNNNNNNNNNNNNNNNNNNNNNNNNNNNNNNNNUAUUACUAUUUAUUGUAUUUUCCAUAGAUCCAAACUUGCAUUUUUCCGGGGUGCUAAGGGGUGAGGUUUGCCAAAAAACUUUCAGGAGUUUAUAUGGUUGGAAGCUUGACCAUACUACAGGAGAGGAUGGAAAGAAGCUGGAAGGACCAGAAUUAAAGGUGGACAUCAUAGAACUUGAGUUUGGUCGUAGAUAAUGUGCUGAUAAAGAAAAAUCUCCAGCGAUUAUAAAAGAGGAAGAAAUCUUAUUUACAUUUUUGACUUUCUGUUAACCAAACAUAAGUGGAAUUGCUUAAAAAAAUAAAUAAAUAAAAAUGCACCCUGUGGAGUGGAGUUUAGUCUUCACUCAUUAUUGUAUAAUUUUGUCUGUUGGAACGAAGGAGUCAAAACCCAUGAAUUAUUCCAACCAAAAAAACAAAAAUAAAAAUAAAAAUUGGGCACAAAUUCAAAUGACCCAAAAACCUUGAGUCUAUUACAAGAUUGCAGUAAAAAAUGGUGGAAUUUGACAAGUAGUUUUGAGUUGUAAUUAUUGCCAUGAAGGCUAAGGAGUUGACCAUGUGGUGGUGGGAAGACCAAACAAUAAAAACAAGAAUGUUUAUACAAGGACCCCACAACAUGAGUUGAUUUAGGGUAUACCCUAAAAUUUAAUACUACCCAACAUGUAGUGCCAAUGCACCUCUAUCCAUAUAUAGGGACAUCAAUAUGUGUUACCACAUGAGAGAAUCUCUAUGUACAUUUGAUAUCAUCUUAAGAUAUACAUAUAUAUUUUUUCCUAAGUUUACUCAAUCUAAGUUUAUUAUAAAGUUAUGGAUACCUUCCCACAGGCUCUUAAUAAAUUUUUAUUUAAUUUUUUCGUAGUGGAUGAUCUUUGUUGAUCCACAAUAGAAAUACAAAAUGAAGAUCAUUGUAUUCAUAUUUUUAAAGUAAGGUUUAUGUAAGAUGUGUUUUUUUUGUUUGUUCAAAAUUCUUCUUGUAUUGUUGAUAUUAGAAAGGAAAUGAUAUGUUUAAGGGAUUUUUCUAAUAAAAAUUUAGGGUUUAUGUCGGUUCAUCGAUAUUUUUUUUGUGUAAUUUAAGGGUAUUUUUUUAAUGUGUAUUAAUGUUUAUAAAAUAUUUGUUUAAGAAUAUUUGUGUUUGUAAUAAAAAAAAUAUUUUUGCAUGCUAACAUUAUUAUCUUUUGUAAAAAAAAUAAAAAAUAAAAUUAAUGUCCUGUAAAAAAGUUCUAUAAAAAAGUUCAUUACUUUUUGUAAAAUGAAAAAGGGUUUUAAGUUGAAACUUCAUCUUUAAUAUUUAUAGUGUGGUUGACCAUGUUUCCAUUCACCAUGUUUCCAUUCAAAAUAUUUUAAUGAAAGCGUUUUCUUUAUAAGUUUUUUUUUAGAAGAAUCAUCCAUCAAGUGAUUCUUUUUGAAAAAAAAGAUAUUAUAAAUAAUUUAAAAUUUUUUUAAAAAUAUUUCCAAAAAUUUGCAAAUCACUUUAUUUCUUUUCAAAAACACUUUUUAAAUUAAAAACAUUUCAUAAAAUUACUGUUGAAUCGGUUCUUAAUACUCCAAAACAAAAGCAUUUUUUAUAUUAAAAACACUUCUUAAAAUCACUGUCAAACGAACUUUUAGAGCCCGUUUGACAGUAAUUUUAAUAAAUGUUUAUAACAUUUUAAACACUUGAAAUUUUUUAUCAUUCAAAUGUUAGAAAUACUAUAAACGUUUUCUAAAAUCACUAUUAAAUACACUUUUAAUGCUCCAAAACAAAAAUACUUUUUAGAUUUAAAGCGUUUUCUAAAAUCAUUAUUAAAUGGACUCUCAGAAUGUAUUUGACAAUGAUUUUGAGAAGUGUUUAUAGUAUUUCUAAUACUUGAAAAAUUAAAGUUUUCAAGUGUUAGAAAAACUAAAAACACUUCCUAAAAUCACUAUCAAACGCACUGCUUGAGUGCAUUUGGUAGUGAUAUUAGAAAAUGUUUCUAAUUUUAUCAUUUUUUUUAAAAAGUUUUCUAAGCAAUUUCAUUAAUUUUGAAUCAUUUAUGUUCAAUCGAUAUUUGUGUAAAAAUAUCCACCAAUAUUUUGAAUUCAAGUAUCGAUAUAUCCGUAUUUACCGAUAUUUUAAACCUUGUUUAACACCUACUCAACCAUAGCAAUAUAACUCUUUCAUUCACAAUAUCAAGUAAUAUUUCUAUACCAAAUUAAGAAAGAACCUUUCCUCUGGCAUACAUCCAUCGUAAAUGAGCAUCUAAGAGUAGGUAUAACAUAGUAAAAAUAAAUAAAUGUCAAUCUUUCAAUAGAAUUGAGGUUAAGAUACAAUACUGAACACCCUUGAGAAUGAAACUAUCAAUGAUACGACUUCGAGGAAUGUCCAAAUGACAAAUUCAACUUGUAGUGUGAAAUUUAGGUAAUAUUCUUUCAUCCACAAAUUGUAUUCAUUACAUAGUAACAAUGAUUGUUACUAAGGCAUGCUUCACAUGGUCAAUGUCCAAGUCCACCCCCCAAAUUAAAAUAAUGGACUUCUCAAACCAUAUGCUUUAAACUAUAAUUUCAAUGUUAUCAUUCAAACACCAUGUGAGAGUGAGUCACCUACCUAAUUGUCACAUCAAGACAUAUUUUUUUCAACAUUCAUGUUAUAAUAUUUGCAUGCUCUACUUGUGGAGACUUUUUAAAUCAAAUAUUCAUUUUCAAUACCAAACUAAAUAGAAAAAAAAAAUUAUUUGGAAUAAUCUAAUCUAUGUUGUGAUUCAUGUGAACUUAAAUGCAUUGCAACACAAAAAUAUGAAGACAUGUAUUGAUUCGUGUGGAUUUAUAAUUAGCUAAAUAGUUUAUCUAUGUAAUUAAAUCAAAAUUUUAAUGGUAUUUGAAAUUUAGGCUAUGUGUAGUCCACGAUGAUCCACCAAGCCUAGUCGAUAUUUAAAUGCAUGGAGCCAAAUAAUUAUUGCUUGGCAGCAAUUUUGUGAAUUUUAAAUGAAAUACAUAUUUUUAUUAAAACAAAAAAUUAAAGCUUAUUUCAUCAAAUGUUUUUGUGUGAUUCAUGUGAAUUUGAAUAUAGUGAAAGACAACAAUUCGAGGGCCAAUGUGUACCUACAAUCAAACUUGAAUAGUUUUCAAGUUUAAAUCAAAUCAUUCAAUCAAUUCAUAAUCCCUAACACAAUGACAUGAUGCAUGUUUCAGAUUCGUACAAUCAAAUACUAUAAUUGGGAAAGAAAAUUUAUAUCAAGAAUGGCAAUAUUGUUUUGGGUUAAUUUCAUUUCCCUUCUUUAAGGUUUUGAUUAAAUCCAUUUAGUUUUAAAAUUUCAUCAUGCACCUUUUUUUUUAUAUUUUGAAUGAGAUUAGAGGUGAGUGAAAAUAAGAAAUAAAAAUGAUGAGGUAAAUAUUUGAUAAAAUUUCAAAUCUAUAAGGACCAGAUGUAGUGAUGUAAGCAAAACUGAAAAAAUCAACAAGCUGAUCCAAACCAACCAAAAUUGAUCAUAUUGGUUCAAUUUUCAAAAAUAAAAAAGAUUGAUUCGAUUUGAGAAUUUUGAAAAUCGAUCUUGUUGAUUCGGUUUUCGAUUUUCUUGUCUCAUAACCGAUAAAAACUGAAUCAAACCGAUAUUCUAAAACUUAUAUAUAAUUAUUUGAUAUUUGAUAUUUUUUUUUAUAUUAGAUUCUAUUAAAAUAAUUUAUUGUUUCUAUAUUAUGAUUAAAUUAAUUCUAAAUGCAUUUAAUAUAUUUUUAACAUAAAAUCCAAGUUGGUUUUAAUUAAUUUUAAAAACAAAUUAAACUUAAGGCCUAAUAUAAACUCAAAUUAAUAGGAUUUGAACUCAAAACAAAAACAAAUCUAUAACUAGGUUGAAGACUAAAAAAGAUUAUUAAGUUGGAUGACACAAAAAUUGAACCAAACCAACCUCAAAAGACUUGGUUUGGUUUGGUUUUUUCUUUCCAAAUAUGAUCAAUUUAGUUUUUAUCACAUAUAAAACUAAUUAUAUUGGUUUGAUUCAUUUUUUAUCCAAAAAUCGAUUAAAUCAACUUUAUUUACAUUCUUAAUUAGAUGUAUUUAGUCGAAACCUAAGGGGAAAUAAAUGAAAUUGACCCUUUUUUUUUUCUCUCCUCAUUUUAGAUAAACAUUCAAAACCAAACUGAGCAUUAAAUUUUAAAAUUUUAUGGAAAGAUCAUUUUUAAAUUUUAUGGAAAGAUCUCACCUGUCUUAUGAUUUGUACUAUGAAAAACCUAAAGUUAAAAGGAAAAGUAUAAUAUAUAUAUAUAAAAGAUCCACAUCCCUUUACAUAUUAUUUACUUAAUAAAAAGAAGGGUCACUCUUUGUCUGCAUUUUUUUUUUCUAAUUCCUUUGAAAAACAAACUAUCAUCCAUCUUGAAAGAGAUUUCCAAACAGCUCAUAAUGUGGGCAUAAUGACAAGACUCGAGUCCUAAUAGUUGUACAAGAAAGAAAAACGUGCAUCAAAAUAAUUAACAAUCCCAUUUUUAAAACUAUUUUUGUCAACAAACAAAAAUUUUCAAAUGACUCAUAGUUUUCUAUGUAGUAACGUAGUUGCUGAUUUGAGAUUUGUACAAUGAAAAUAUAGAAUAUAAGAAAAACUUGAAACAAGACAAUAAUAAUAUCCUUUGAUUUUCUUAUUCUUGGGUUCAUUUGUGACAUAGAGAAUUUGACUAUUCUUGAAUUUUCUUAUGAGGAAAAAGUGAUUAUAGUAUGCCUUUUUAAUUCUAUUUGUAUGAUAUAACUAAUUCGUUGUGUCAAUAGAAGUUUUAAUACAAAUAUAUUAAUUCAAAAAUAUAAAGAUAAAAUAAAUAAGAGAAAAUAAUUCAAUUAUACCAUAAAGAAUACUACAAAGAUUCAAUUAUACCAUAGAGAAUACUACAAAUAAUUCCAUGAGACAUCUUCCAUUUUUCCCUCCACUUAGCAUAAUCUAUACAAACUCAUCUUCAUUUCAUCACUUUUUUUGCCUUAUGACAUUCAAUAUUUAUAAAGAUAUUUCUAAUAACUUUUCUUAUUUAAUAAGGAAAUCUAAUAUUAUAAUAACAGUUGUUUUAAAAAACAUUUUAUACAAUAUUCUUUACAAAAAAGAAUAUAUAUUAAUUAUGAAUUUAGGAUAUUUUCCAAUGAGUUCCAAUAUUAAAAAUAUUUCAUAUUAACGUUAUGAUUGACGACUUUAGUUAUCUUAUUUGCAUCCUUUCAAUUAAAGAAAAACAACAAAGAAAAUUAAUAAAGAUUUACCAUGUUUCAUGAAAAUUAAGAAAGAUUUAUUAUCUUUCAAUUCAUUGUAGAGUGAACUAAUUAAAAAUUAAUAAUAUAAUAAAAACGUAAUAAUAUAUGAUCAUCAUUUUGUUGAAAUUUAUUUUAUGUACUACCUCAUGAAUCAAGUUGGCUCAUGGUCCACCAAGCCUUGGCCACCUUCCUAUGGGGCCAACUAAUUAGGCUUGACAUGCAGCAACUUUUUAUUUUAAAUAUAAAUUUUUUUAUUUUCAUUUCUAAGAAUAUAUAUAUAUAUAUAGUUUUACUUUUAAUUAUUUUUUGUCAUAAGUUUAGAUUUUGGAAAUAAAUAUGUGAUUUAGACUAAUCAUAUUAAGGCGAUAUUUGUUUUUUAAUUGAUAUUUGUUUUUUUCUAUACCGUUAAAAGUAAUCAACAACGUAAGUAAAUUAAAUAUAUUGAUAAGAAGUUUAGUUUAGUUAUAUUAGUUGAUAUCAACAAGUUAACUUUUAAUUAAAUAAAAAAAGUAAAAUAUUUUGAUAUUUUUCUAUUCAAUGAAAAAAAACAAAUACUAUCUUCAUUUAAAUUGAAAAGUUUGAAAGUAAGCGCAAGAAAAGGAAUAUAAGUAAGAAUAUGAGAAACGUUUUUUAAUAUAUUUGCCUCCUUUCCUCAUUUAUAUCAAGCAUGAAAAAACAUAUUUGAAAAUGUGCAUGUCUUUAAAUAAUUUUAUAUUUAAUUUUUCUUAGUUUUUUUAUAGGAAAACUAAAUAAGGUCGUUUGAAUUUUCUUCUUACGUUUUAAAAUUUUCUAAUAUUUUCCAUGUUCCAAAUUGAGUCUAAAAGGCUUCACAUAAAAAUGUUAAUUAAGAUUAUGACCUAUUUUUGAAAAUUUUAAUUAAUUUAUUUAAGUAUAAGUAAACUCAAAAAAAAAAAAAAAAAAAACUUAAGUCAACUCCCACCCAAACCAACUUGCUUGGAAAAAAAAUUUAUUUUUUAAAAAUAAUAAAAUUUAUUUUUACAUAGUUAAUCAUUUAUUAUUAUUAUUAUUAUUAUUAUUAGAUAAUUUUUUUUAUCUAGUAUCAUAAAAAAAAGAAAGGCUAAUAAAAAAAAAUUUUAAAAAAAUAAUCAUAAUUUUCUAAUAUGAUUAACAAUAUCUAUGUCUACAUUUAUAUGACAUUUUUCUUAUCCAAGUUAAAAAAAACUUUAUUUAUCAUUACCUAAAACAAAAAAUUCCCUUUAAUUUUUUUUAUUUGACAAUAUUUAUUGAAUUAUUAAAAAUGUUAUCUUAUUAUAAAAACUAAGCUAUGGUCAAAAACUCCAUAUUUUAAACAUUUAAUCUAAAACCAAAUAAAUUUUCAAGAAAAGAAAAGUAGAGAGGAAAAAAAAAAAUUAUGAUAAGCUAAAAUUUUAAAAAUAUUAUCUUAUAUAUACUAAAUGAAAAAUUUUAAAUUUAAUAUGCUAAUUUUAUAAUUUUAUUUUAGAUAUAAAAUUAAUUAUUUUACAAACAAAAACUUAGGAAGAGUGUGCUGAUUUCUAGUUUUUGUAUUAAAUAUUCUUUUUAAUAUUUAUACAUUAUAGGCCUUGAUUAAAAAAAAAAUACUAUGAAAAUAUUAUAUAUCUAAAAUGGUAUAUUUAUCCAAUAUAAAAUUUAAAAAAAUGUAUUAAUUGAUAAUAUAGGAAAACUUGGGAUUGUCUUUAUCUAAAAACAGUUGUUUUACCGUUUAAUUCUUCAUCCCAAAUUAUGAGUGGAACUAUACUAAAAUAAAGUACAAAAGCCUUUCACUUUCUUUUUGGACAAUUUUUUACAAUUUCCCCGAUCUCUUGAUUGGAUCGGGUUGAGUUAACUUGAUUUGGGCAUCCACCCAACUCGACAAAGAUAAAAUAAAACAUUAUAUCAAUUAUAUAAUAUGUAAAUUUUUUUAGUAUAUAAAAAAAUUAUUAUCCUUUCAUGAAAUAAACAAAAAUUAAAAUACCAUACUUAUAUCUAGAAUUAUUAUAUUAUUAAAUUACUUAUUUGAAAAAAAAAUUUAAUAAGAUAAAAUUAUAAUUUCUUAAUUUCUCUGUACGCCAUUGAACAACUAAAUAAAAUAAAAUAUAUUCAAAGUAUUAUUGAAUGUGCAUUUUUUAUUCAACCACCACGUAAUUAACAAUUUCAAUUGACACAUAAUAGUUUUUUAUUUUCAUAUAUUAAUUUUAUAUUUUUUAAUUAAAAAUAAAUUUAAUAGCAUACCUUGAGGGUUUGUGUUGCAUUUAUUACAUGAUUAAAUCUAGAAGAAAUUAUGUUGAAAUGGUUUUAUUAUAUAAUUAAAUUAUUUAUCUAAUCUUAUUUUUAUAAUUUUCCAAAAAAUAUAUAUAUAUAAAAUUUUAUAAAAUAAAAAACAUUUAUAUAUUAUAAAUAUAUAAGGAUAAUUCCCUUAGACUUCACUCAUGAAUAUUAUCUUUAUCCAAAACUAAAAUAAAUAAAUAAAAAGAAAUUAUAUUUAAAAAAAAUGAAAUUAUCUUAUUAAAUUAUACUUUUUAUAAAAAUAAGAGUAUUAUAUAGUCAAUAUAAUGAAUUAUGAUUAAUAUUAAUUAUAAUUAUUUGAAAUUAAAAUAAAUAAAUAAAUAAAUAAAAUGAAGCAGGGGUAUUACAGCCCAGAUACCAGAAUGGAAAGAGAAAGGUUCCAAAUUAUAUUUUUAUAUAAAAAAAUUAUAAAUAAAUAUAAAAAAGAAAAAAAUGAAGAAUGAAAAAAGAAAAAACAGAAACCAUAGGAUAGAAAUGGGAAAAGCAUCCAGCAGAAGGCUCAAAAUCUAAGGUUGCUUAUUUGUUUCUUCCUCAUAUGCAUACAUAUAUCCACUAGUCAUUCAAUCACCUUUUUCUAUAUAAUCUCCCCACAUCACAAACCCAAAAGAUUUUCCCUUUCUUCCCUUUUUCUUCCUUGUUCUUUCUUGUUCCUGAAUUCUUCAAAUUUUGCAGAUUAACCCACCAAUUAUCUCCAAAACCCCACCAUUGAUUGGGCUUGGAAUCAUUUUUUUUUUAUUCCGUUAUUAAGAACGUCCCAGAUUUGAAAGUGACACCAACUCUUCAGAAAAAGCCUCCAUUUCUCUCUUUCUAGAAAGCUCGCCUUCUUUGAACCGCGUUUUUUUUCCUCCCCACCUCUCUUUAUUUGUGGUGGUUGUCCCUAUUUCCCCAUUCAUUUUUUUCAUCCAUUUCUCUCUCAACCAUCAAUUCUCAAUUGGGCUCUUCUUCAUUAAAGCGCUGCAGCUGUAAUGUUUUCUUUGUUUCUUGGUUGUUCUGGCUGGUUGUUGGGUUAAUUUGGAGCUUGAUCUGAGGAAAAAUCGGUGGGUUCUGGUGCUUCGGGCGUGAUUUGAGGCUUGAUUUGUUGACAAUUUGCGGAAAUUGUAUCUGGGUUUUGGAGAACUUGAAUGAUUUUUUGCAGAUUCGAGAUUGAGUGCUUUUGGAUCAAUCUUGGGGUAUGCCUUUGUUAUUCUGCAUAGAUCUGCUCUUUAUUGUAUCCCCUUUUUAGCUUUUUGUGAAUAUUUUAAGAUUUCUAAUUGGAAAAAAGGAAAAAAAAGGGUGAUGAUUGUUAUCCUUGUGUUUCAGCUUUAAAAGGGUUCUGGAAAGUACUGUUGGUUAGGUUUUUGGGUUAAGUUUUUAAGCUUUUGGGAGUUGAAUUCUGGAGUGAUCGAUUUCAGAAUUGCAUAAUUGGGGAGAUUUGUGGAUUAGUCUGGUAAUUAAGCUGAGAAAUUGAGAGCUUAAUUGGAAAGAUUUGAAGGCAAAUUAGUGGGUUAAUCCUGCAAAUUAGGCCAGGAAAUCAAGAAUUUUUUGGUGGAUUUAUCGGCGGGUUCUGACGGAUCCGUCUACAGAAAACAAGGGGUGUGACUGUCUGGCUGGUCUGGAGUGCAUAUUAAAUAUAAUCAGGGCCCUGAGAAUGGGGUCCUGCUUGUCUGCUGAAAGCAGUCGCCCUCUCCCCAGUUCGCCCUCGGGUUCUUUAGGGGUCAGGAGGAGGAAGAACUCCAAGAGACGACUGGGGUCUCGGACUUCCUCCUUCGACUCCAGGAGGGAAGAACAAUUGCAUAAGAUUCCAGGGCGAAUGUUCCUGAAUGGGGCGAGUGAUUUCGCCUCUUUGUUUACACAGCAGGGCAAGAAAGGAACCAACCAGGAUGCCAUGAUUGUUUGGGAGGUGAGCUCUUUUCUUUCCUUCCAAGUUACUCUUUAUCUUUUCAAAUGUUCAAAUCUCCAUAAUUUAACAUUUUUUCCAUAUGUUGAAUAAAAUAAUGUGCUCUCCAUAUUGUUGUUAUUGUUCUUGCUGCUGCAUAGUUAGGAGUAGCCAACAAGGUUUGGAUGCUGUUUGGAUAUCGGUGUUAAUGGCACUUUCCCCGGUUCCAUGCCUGUCCUUGCCCCAAAAUCACUAUUUUAAUGUUUAACACUUGCAUAGCUCAUGACAUAUAGAAUAAGGGUUGGUGUCUUUUGAUAAUCUUAACUGAUAUUUUUUCGUGUAUGGGUGUAAUAUUCACUUAUGCAGUUUUUCAAUUUUAGUUUAUCCUUUUUUUUUGUGGUAUAGAGAUAUAAUGCUUUACCAAAUGAUGCUUUUGGUUUCUAGUUUGCUUUUGAUAUUGAUAUGAUAAAACAAUUGUCUCACCUUUGUUGUCAUAUAAACUCAAAAGUUCUCAUUGAACAAGCUAUUCCAGUCGUAUGAGUAUUUUAUACCUUUUCUCUGAGUCAACGUUCCCAUAGAACUAGCUUUCUUAUGGGUAUUUGGGACUUUUCUUUGUUUGUAUGAUGUCCCAUCAUAUAUACCAGUUGACUUCAUCCUAUUUCAGUUUUCUUCAUGGUUUUCCUUCCUUUUUUUUACUGCAGUCUUCCUUUGGAAUGUUGACUGCUAAUUUUUCUGAGCUUGUUCAUUUUUAAUUACUUAUGAUUAUGAUGUAUUAUUCUUGAAAAGAAGCAUAUGUUGGAGCUAGUGAGACUUAGAUGUGGUGUUUUAAAGACCAAAACCAGAAGCGUGAUGUAACCGUGAUUUGUUCAAUAUAUUGUAAGAUGUAGUUUUAGUAUAACUCAUUUACAUAACGUCACAACAUAGGGAACAUUCUCAGGUAAGACGGCGAGUGUAGUGAUGGGCUCAUUAUUUCAAUAGAGCUCGGUAUUUCAAGAGAAUAUUGCAACUGUUAAGAUGCUGCUCCUUUCAAGCAGGAUGAUCACAAGAUUUAUAUAUGACUUAGUUUUUUCUAGGCCAGUCCGUAAAGCCCAAUAAGAAUUCUUUGGUUUCUUUCAUUUCUUACAUUUAUUGUUUGUCCUUCACUCCUCACUCUAAUUAUUAUAUUAUUUGACUAAAAGGGGCUUUGCCUAUAAGCUCUGUGAUUUUAAAUAUUACAUUUCUCUUUUUUAAUAUUAAAAUUUUGUCAUUUUUUAUUUAUUAUUAUUGCUUUUUCUGCUGUUCUUGUGAGAUAUAAUGUUUGUUGCUAAUUCUAUAUGACUGAUUUUCCAGAAUUUUGGUUCAAGAACAGACACGGUUUUCUGUGGCGUUUUUGAUGGCCAUGGUCCAUAUGGUCAUAUGGUUGCAAAGAGGGUGAGGGAUUCCCUUCCCCUAAAACUGAGUGCACACUGGGAAGUCAAUAUCAAUGAGGAUGUACUCAAAGAGAUCAGCCUUAACACCACCGGAAGCAUGAACUCCGAAGAUACUGCCUUCAUAUCUGCCGAUGAGGAAUCCAGGCCCUCUAUUGAUCUUGAAGAAACAGAAAAGCAGCCUGAGAUCUUUCAGGCACUGAAAGAAUCAUUUCUGAAGGCUUUCAAAGUCAUGGACAGGGAGCUGAGAAUGCAUACAAAUAUAGAUUGCUUCUGUAGUGGGACAACAGCGGUUACUCUGGUCAAGCAGGUAUGAUCUCAUAAGCAUUCCGAACUUGAUUCAGAUAGGAUUCUCUGACAUGGACUUUAUUUUUCCUAAUAACAAUUGCCUUGGCUGUUUUUAUAUAGGGUCAGGAUCUUGUCAUUGGAAAUGUUGGGGACUCCCGGGCUGUAUUGGGUACCAGAGAUAAGGACGGUUAUCUUGUUGCCAUUCAGUUGACCGUCGAUCUCAAACCAAAUCUUCCAGGUUUCUCUCUUUCUCUCUCUCUGUUUGUGUGUAUAAAAUCCAAUUUCACUCCCACUAAAAUGCUUGCAACUGUUUAUUUAUUUAUUUUUUUAACUUUAAAGAUUAGUAAGUAGUGAGCUGCUCAAAACCAGUAUAGGUAAUUGGUGAUUGAAAACACAGCCAUAUUUCCUUUCAUAUGAAAACAUAGCCUGGUUGCUUCUGAGAAAAGGACAAAAAGAAAGGUUGUUUCUUUUGCAGAGAAUACAUCCAAAUUGAAUUAUUGGAGUCUGGCUUGGAAGCUUGGUGAGAUUUGGUCAUACUUUGGUUCACAUGUAGCACAUGCACAUGUUACUUGUGAACAUACAGAAAGAACAGAGUGGUUGCUCCCUGUUAGGAGAGAAUUUGACCUGACAGCAUUAGAUACAUCAUUCAGCAAUGAGGGUCCGAUCAACUAAAGCAACUAAGUGUUGAAAUAUUUUGAGUUAUACAUCAUCAUGAUGAAAAGGAAUGUGGAAAAUUAUAGGCUGAAUGUACAGAUUGGGAGAAAAAACUCCACAGUAGAGGUUCCUUGUUAAGAAUGUACAGUUUACAUGUUACAGAUACAGCCUAAUAGAGACUUGAAGGUGCAUCAAGAGGAGCUUGGAAUCCAAUAGUUAGAUCAUGUCUGUCAUAGACAAGACACUGCACAUGCUAGUAUAUAAAAGAUAGGGAAAAAAAAAAUCUACUUAUAACCCUGUAUUCUCACCCAGCCAAAUGAUGGUUGUUAUUCAUUUAUUUUUUAUUUGUAAAAGCUAUCCAUUAAUGGUCAGAAAACUCUCUCCUAGUUAUGUAGUUCUUGCAUAAUUCUUUUUGUUCUUUCAUUAUAGGGGAAGCAGAGAGAAUUCGAAGAUUCAAAGGGCGUGUUUUUGCCCUUCAGGAUGAACCUGAGGUUGCCAGAGUCUGGCUGCCAAACAAUGAUUCCCCUGGUCUUGCCAUGGCCCGGGCUUUCGGAGAUUUCUGCCUCAAGGAUUUUGGUCUGAUCUCUGUGCCUGAAAUUUCUUAUCGGCGCCUCUCUGAGAAGGAUGAAUUUGUCGUCUUGGCUACAGAUGGGGUAAAGAAGCAAGGCAUUUAGUUUGCUGAGUGGAUUUAUCAUUUCUGUUCAGGACUAAAGUUUACAUGAAUAUUUAUUCACAGGUCUGGGAUGUGCUCUCCAACAAAGAAGUGGUAGACAUUGUAGCUUCGGCCUCAUCGCGUUCCACUGCAGCUCGAACCCUGGUUGAGACUGCAGUAAGAGCUUGGAGGCUCAAAUACCCAACUUCCAAAGUUGAUGACUGUGCUGUAGUUUGCCUCUUCCUCAAUUCCAACACAAACAAUUUUUCUACUGCUUCCACCAAAUCCAAAGAGCAGGUGACACCAUUGGAACAAACGGACGCUGGCAUUGAGAAAGAUCUCUUAGGCCCGACUGGAUUGGACCGCUCAGGAACUGUUCGAACGGGCAAAGAGAUCCAUCCAGAAGAUAGCCAAGAGGAAGCAUCAAAGCAGGAAGAGUUUCAUACGGAGUCAGGCAUAGAAUGGUCUGCUCUUGAGGGAGUGUCUCGGGUAAACACCCUUCUGACUCUGCCAAGGUUUGUGCCUGGAAAAGAUGACAAAAAAGUCUCUGGAAAAACCUCCUAAAUAAUCCCAAGGGAGAGGAAGGGAUUAGUUUGGCUUUGAUUGAUUUUCUUCAUUGUUGAUUUUUUUUCAUCG
rnacentral:lncRNA from 1 species